AAAAUUCACACAAAUAUAUUGGAAUAUGAAGUUGCUACUCCAAGCAACCAAAAUCAAAAUGCCGGCAAUUCAUAUCAUUCAAGACAUGCAUACAUGUAAAUGAACAUUUGCAAAAAUUCAAUAUUUUAAAUUAUGAUAUUGACUUCUAAUCAUUUAGAGAACCUUUCAUUUUUAUACCUGGUAUACUAACUUAUUAUUAACUUUGUUCCCUCCUUUAGCAAUGACAUGUUUAAAGAAAGAAAAAGGUGUAAAAGUUCUACUAGCGCAAGAAACAAAAACGUGUUCAAAUAAUAUAUGUCUAACAAAAAAAGGUUCAAGUAAGAAUUAAAUAACAAUAAUAGAACUACAUGUCUGUAUUGGCAAAGUGGCUAGUACAGACUGGAUGGUAGGUGAAGGCUACGUGCUAGGUUGAGUGAUAGCCUGCGUGAUAGGACCAUUCAGAGGUCUUGGGGGUGGUAGUUUCCUCUUUGGUGGCAUAGGAAUAACCUGUGCUGUUGACAGUAAAAAAAAAAAAAUUCAAUACACAUAAAAUUAGAUUUGAGCACAUUGUACCAAUCAUGAAUUUGUGUCAAACAAAUAAAUUGUUGCUAAAAAAAUUACUAGUCAACAACUACGUGCCACUACAUUUCUAGUAUGUAAAAGGUUGUGUCAAAAUCAGCAACUACAUUUCUGGUCUGUAACAUAUGGUCGUUGUUCUGCUAGUCUAUUUUUAUUCUAGUACCGAACCUGAGGCACAAGAGCGAUAAAUGUUGAACCAAGUGAAUCAGAUAGCUUCAUUCAUAAAAUGCAUGUACUCAAAUUUUGAAUCAUAUUUUAUUAGCAGAGUACCAAAGAUUGCAUAAGCCUCAGAAAUAUAUUGUUUCAAUAUCAUGUCACGAAAAUUGAUGGAGGGAAGAAAAAUAAAUAACAAGAUUUUUCAGUAAAUUUGGAUAAAGAAAGAUAAGAAGACGGUGCAGUAAAUUUUGAAUAAGCCCUCAUUGUUUCUUAGAUGAACAUGGAAAUUAAUAGAACAGUAAUUAUUUCUUCUCAAAUGUGAUUCUUUUGUUUUUCUUAUUCAAUAGGGCUCGGAGAUGAAAACAACUUAGAUAAGUCCUGAUGUGAUUCUCUUGUUCUUCAAAGAAUCACCUAUGGUAUUGGAGGAAUGACUAAGUAAACAAUAGCUUAUAUGCUCCUACAAAAAGUCCAAGAAUCCAUUCUUACAUCGAAAAAUUUCAAAAUAUAGUACAGAAUUAUUUUCAUCCAUUACAUGAAGCAGUAACAACAAGCCCACAAUUAAGUCAUGUUUCCUAUCCCCCAUCUAAAUUAGUCUUCUCCCCUCCACUCUAACUAAAACUAGAGCAUCUAAAACAGAUCUCAAUAUAAUGCAAUUUGCAGUCUAGAAAAUCCUCCUAAACUUAAGUCACAUACAACAUUACCUAUCACCCCCAUUUGAUGUUGACAAGUAGCUAUUAACAUAUAAAAAUCUAUUUGUAGGAUUUUUUUGAUUCAUGGCUACAAUGUGCUCAAAUUGAGUCUGUGUCUCAUGAUUUUGGCAGAGCAUCCAUGAUAAGGAAAAGCACAUAAAGGAAUCUCAAAAAAGGAUUUUUAACCAAUGAUCAGGAGUGUCCCCAGAGAACAACUCAAAAAGAUAAAGAUAAUACAAAUUAAUCAUACUGAUAAAAAAGCCAUACAAAGAAACUUACACCAAAUAUUGAUUUCUAAGAUAAGAAGCACCAAUAGCACCUGAAGAAAAAAUUAGCACAAAUAAGUUUCAUGAAGUACAAAAUGGAUAAGGAAAUUGAAAAGUCAAAAAUCUAUACAGUGAGGGAAAAGUCAGGAAUUGGAGGGUGGAUGUUAAAAUAUAUGCAGUGAUAAAAUUGAAAAAUUUUGAGAAAAUUGAAAACCUUACAAAAUUAAAAUAAAUAAAUGAAUCAAUCAAACCUCUCCUUUUUUUUUUUUUUACCAAAUAAACCAAACAUAUAACAAAAUUUUCAAAAAAUCCAGGUGUGAGUGUGGGGUAAAGAUAAUGAAAGCACAAAAAGAAGAAAAUGGAAAAACUGAAACCUUAGUUUAGGAUCUGAACUUGUCCAAAACCUAAUUUUAUGGUACUUGUUCUUAUCAAGCAGCUUGUUGUAAGAGUGCAUUGCUAGGAAUGGCUCAGUGUCGGGUGGCAUGCUUCGCUAGGGAAUUUGGAAAGAUGCAAUACGGAUUGUAAUAUCUUCAUUUUCCGCUCCAAUUUUCUCAUUUCACUAAUUUAUUAUUUUCUUCCUAUUUUGUUAAUUUUAUUGUGAUUUAAAUUAAAAAUAGAAAACAAUUAAAAAUAAGAGUUGACACAAGGAUGUGUUUUCAAAUAUAAGUUAAAUUUAGAAACUAAAAAAAUGUAAAAAAACAAGAGUCAAGGCGAGGUACGGAUUUUUAAUUACAAUAUAAGUUUAAGGACAUAAAAAUAAAGAUAAGUUGAUGAGGAAUGGGUCCCAACCUUGAUUUCCCAAUCCACUAUAUCGAUGCCACUCACUAUUAGGAUAUUCAUAUUAAAACAAAAGUUUUGAGAAAGCUUCAUAAAUUCAAUAUAUUUAUUUAGUUACUAUUUUAAUUUGAUUUUUGUUAGUUAUAAUAUAGAGAAAAUAAUAUAAACUAUUGUAUUUUUCCAACUCUUUUACAUUAUUGUGUUAUUAUUUACUUUUAUCAGGAGCUACAAUGUCAAAUUACAAAGAGCAAUAGAUAUACUUGAGUUUCAAGAAUAAAUGUAACAAUUCAUAUGAACUUGCAAGACAAUCAUGCGAAACAACAAUGCAUAGCAAACCUAAAUUAAAACAAGAAAAAAACUUCUUUGCCUAGAAAAACCAGACUAGCAGUAAUGCAUGAAAUGUACAAUGUACAUAAAAACAAUAUAUUUCUUUACUUACCUAGACAUCACUCAUGAGAAGGUGGUUGGUGCACUAGCAUAUUAGAAACAAUGUGCAUAGUUGGCCGAUGUUGUGGAUUGGAGUGUAGGCAUUCAAUUGCAAGUUUAACAACGGACAUCAAAAUCACCUCUUCUUCUUGAGUGGGAUAAAGAAUGCGUGGAUCCAAUAGAUCUUCCAUCCGUAAAUCUCCAUUUGAUGGAGUUGUUAUGUAUUGAAUGUAUUCACCAGGAUGCUUUCCUUUGAUCACUUCCAAUGCUAACACCCCAAAACUAUACACAUCACACUUUUCAGUAACCUUCAUUGUGUAUGCAAGUUCUGCCCAAAAAACAGGGAAAGAAUACAAUCAAUAUCAUGUAUAUAUAUUAUGUGAAUGAAAUUUAGGAAAAAGAAAUAUUACCUAGAGCGAAAUAACCAUAUGUGCCUGCAGGAGAGCUCAAAUUCGAUGAAUCACAUUUCAAAAACUUAGCAGUGCCAAAAUCUGAAACAUGAGCCUCAUACUCUGAAUCAAGCAAAAUGUUGUUGCUGGAUAUGUCUCGAUGAACAAUUGGAGGCAAACAACUAUGAUGCAUGUAAGACAAAGCAUAAGCCACGCCCUUCACGAUAUUAAUCCUUUUAGGCCAAUCCAAUUUCCUAGCUUCUUCAUCUACGCUUAGAGUUUUGGCCACACUACCUCUAUCAAGGUAUUCAUAGACCAAAAGUGAGUUUUGAACAUUGGAGCAGAAACCGUAAAGUUUCACAAUGUUUCGGUGCCUGAUUUCCAUCAACGCUCUUAUUUCAUUCAGGAAAGCUUCAAAAUUUACCAUUUCGGAUGACGAAUGAAGUCUUUUGACUGCUACAGUAACCGUUUUGGAUGAGGAAAUGAGUCUUUUCCCUUCUAUUGUCUUUUUUGAUGAAAGUUGUGCCUUGUAUACCUUUCCACAUCCUCCUUCCCCAAUACAAAAUGCUACAUCAAAUUCAUUUGUGGCCUCUAAGAUGUCUUUAUACGUUAGGUCUCCAUUGAAUAUGGUGAGCAAAUCAUCAUCUGAUUUCUUUGGAUUCAUCUUUCUUUGUUUAUACAGGAUGAGGAUCCCGAUAAGUGCAAAUAGAAGUGAAGAUACACAAAGAAGUGGGAUUGCAAUUAUUAAAACAAGUUUGUGUUCAUUCCCUGUCUUCUUGCUUAUACAAGUUCGUAAUCCUGCAAUAUUGCCAUACAAUCCUUUGUUCCCUUGUAGUUGUUCUAUGGAGACAUUUCGAAAGGCUCUGGCAUUAGGAACUGGACCCUCCAACUGAUUACAAGAUAUAUCAAUGUCCACCAAGCUAGGCAUUUCUUCCAAACUCUUAGGAAUGAGUCCGAAGAGGUGAUUGUGUGAGAGGUUUAACAUUUCCAAGCUUUCCAAAAAUUUUAAUUCAGAUGGUAUUUCUCCAGUGAGUAGAUUAUUACUCAUAUCCAACUCGGAUAGAUGGAUUAACUUACCGAGCUGAUGAGGGAUUCUCUGGCUCAAAUUGUUGAAGCUCAAAUUCAAGUAAUGCAACUGCUCAAAUUUCGCUAAAUUUCCAGGUAUCUGACCAAACUUGUCCAAACUUGGAUGAAAUUUGUCCAAACUUGCCUAAUUCAUAUUAAAAGCGUAAUAAUAUAGAUUGAAUACUCUCUAAGUGAUAAUGAUUGAAUAGUUAUGAUUUUUCCGUAAAUUCAAUUAAUCUAAUUUAUUUUCUUGAUAAAGCUUUGACACUUAAAAUUUUCUAGAAGAGAUAGCAAACUUGAACCGAAAACAACUAAUAGAGUAAUUUAUUUACUUUAUUCAAAUUUAAAUUGUAAAGGAAGAGAGCAAGUUAGAUUUAAUUAUCAAGGCUAAGCAACAUUAUAGGACUAAAUACAUUCUCAGGUGGCCCCGUUAAGCAAGAUAGAAAGGUUUUAAAAGACCCUCACCAUACCUUUCUCAAACUCCACAAAAGGAGGGAUCAUCUUCCUUCAAAAUUUCUAUUGAUACAUCAAAACUCCGUAGAAAUCACUUCAUAUAUACUACUAACAUACAACGCUCAUAUUGUACUCUAGUUUCUCAAUUUUUAUACAAAAUAAUUUUCAUUGUCCACAUGUCAACAAUGCAAUUUUCUUUUGGCAAGAACAUCGUACAUCAAGAAAUCUUGUCUUAGAUUUGUCAUGCAAGUAUAUCCCUUACUAAAAAAAAAAAAAAAAAAGACGAGAACUUAAACGAGAACAUUGAUGCAAACAUAUAGCAAAAGAAAUUUACUACUACUCAAUUUUAUAAUUUAUUUCUAAAUUCAAUCACUUACAAUAAUUUUAGCCACACAUUAAUAAUUACUAACAUUAUUAUCCAUAAAUUUGGUGGGAUCCACUACCAUUUCCUUUUUUAAGCCAUAUACAAAUUUGUGAAGCGAAUGUUAAUGUAAAUGUUGAUUUCGUUCAAAACUUUUGCCAAUUUUUCUAAAGUUGAACUGAAUCUUUUUUCUUCGCCUCAGUUUGGCACUUACAUUUCAAAAAUUAGUUUUUCUUAAAACUCAUUUUUAAUCACACUUGAGACCACACUUUUCAACCACAUAUUUCAUUAAUUUUAUCAAAAUCUAAUUUAUAUCUAAACUAAAUUGGAGCUACGUUUUUCUCUUUUCUAAUUAGCAACCCUUUUUUUUUUUUGGUCUUUACAGAAUAUUCCCAUUACAUUUAGGUGACGACAUCGUUUGCAAGGUGCAGAGAAAACACUACAUCUUUACACUGAGGGUGAAUUAACAAUAAACUACUAAGUUGAACUUAAUUGUGCCUAGGCACGUACCCUAGACGUGAUUUAUUAUUAUUAUUAUUAUUUUAAUUUCCUUUUUUCAGAAACCUCUUAUUUGACUUUAAUUUAUUAAUUUAUUAAAAGACAUUUAUUUGACUUUAGUUUCAAGUUUUUAAUUUACUUGUACAGAAAACUAAAAUGACUUUAUUUGAUAAAAACUAGAUAAGAUUUAGGUUAUAGUGCUGUCAUACUAUGUAAUUAUGAAUUUGAGAUUGAUUGUAUUUUUGAAAAUUUCAAAAGUAUAUAUGAAAUUUCUAUAAAUCUAUUAAGCAGGAUUUGUCAAGUUGAAAAUUGAAAUUAGAAAAAAUAGUCUAAUUUUUACAUUUUGAAAACUUGAAAAAUUUGUGUAAUUGACUUGUAGAAACUAUUAAAUAAAUACAUUAUUUUAUAAUUUUAGAUGUUUGGUACGUAUUAUUUUAAUUGAUAAAUGUUUUUUUGAAUGAUUAAGUAUUUAAAAUAAUAAUAAAAUUAAGUAACGUCUUUUUACAUUUAGAGUCGUAAAACUUGAAAUUUGACCUCUACAUCUAACCACACUUUACCUUUUUUAAAAACACGGUAUUUUAUUUACCACAUGAUAAGCAUUGUAAUUUUUCCCUCUACAUAUGAUCAAAUUUUAAUUCACAUUGCACGUGUUAUUAUAAUGAUGAUGUGACUGCUUUUUUUUUUUUUUUUUAAACAGAGAAAACGUUUUAAAGUAAUAUGAUGAAAUUUGUCCAAAUUUGUACUCAGCUCAUAUCAAAAAGCAUAAAAUAAAGAUUGACUAGUGUCAAUUAUUAGUUGCCUAAUUAUGAAACUCAAUUUCUUUUUCUUCCCGUAAAUUCAAUUAAUCAAAUUUAUUUUCUCAAUUAAGAUUAGACAUAAAUUUUUUAGAAGUGAGAAAUAGCGAACUUGAAUUGAAAACAACUAACAGAGUAAUUUAUUUAUUUACAUUCAAAUUUGAAUUGUAAAGAAAAAGAAUAAUUUAGAUUUUAUUGUCAAGGUUUAGCAAUACUAAAGAACUUAGUACAAUAUCAAGUGACCAUGUUAAAGGAGCUAAAACGGUUUUGUAAGACUUUCAACCCACCCCUCGGCAAACUCCAUUGAAAGAAGGGAUCAUCUUCCUUCAAACAUCUUCAUUGAUAUGCUAGAACAUUGUAAAACUCAGUUCAUAUACAGACACUAUUAACAUACAAAGCUCAUAUACUAUAACGACUCAAUCUGUAUAUAAGAUAAGUUUCAUUGUCUAUGUGUCAACAUUGCAAUUUUCUUCUGUAAGAACAUCGUACACUAAGAACCUCAUCUUCAAUAUGUUAUCCAAGUGUAUCUCUUACCAAAAAAAGAUAGACGAAAACAUUGAUGUAAACAUGUAGUAAAAGAAAUUAUCUCCUAUUCAAAUUUAUGAAUGAUUUAUAAAGUCAAUCACUCAAACAUUAAUUUCAAACACACAUUCAUAACUACUAACAUUAUUAUCCAUAAAUUUCGAGGGAUCCACUAUAAAUCAUUUAUAAAUUUGCCAAGUGGAUGUUAAUAUAAAUGUUGAUUUCGUUCAAAACUCAUACAAAUUUUUCUAAAGUUGAACUGAAUCUUUAUUCUUCCCAUCUGUUUGGCCUUUAUUUUUCAUAAAACUUAUUUUUAAUUACACAUUUUAUGAGAUCCACAACUUUUCAAUUUUAAAAUUCAUCAAUUAUAUCGAAAUCUAUUAAAAUUCUAAUUUAUAUCUAAAUCAAAUAGGAGCAUCGAUCUUCACCCUUUUAAUUAGCAACCGCCUUUUCUUUUGUCUUUAAAGAAUACUCCAAUUGCAAUCUUGAAAACGUGUCCCGUCUCCAUUAGAAAAAUAAGCCCCUGUUUGAGAACCAUUUUUUUGGGAAAAUGUGUUUUAGAAUAGUAUUUUUUGAAAAAUCUGUGAGAAUUUAUGCAUAAAAUCGUUUGACAAGGGAAUGUGUUAAAAAAAAAAGAAAAAAAAAAAAGAAAAAAAGCGGACUCAAUCAUGGGCUAAGUUGACUCAGAAUCAACAAUUGAGUUUACUAGCCGACUUUUGCUGUUGCAAACUAGUAAAUUUUAUUCCUGUGUAUAUUGAUAUCUUAUUUCAAUAUUUUGCUCAACCAAAGUCUUAACUUUUGCAAUUUGGGUCAUUUAGUUUUCAAAAUUUAUAUCUUGUCCCUGAAUUCAGCAUUUCUUUUUUCAACUUCCAUCAUUUUUUUUUAUCAAUUAUCAUUCAUUUUCAUCCGUUCUCGACCAAUAGCAAAAUUUAUCUUAAAAUAAUCAAGAAACACAUAAAGUUAAGUAUAUCAUUCAUAAAAUUACUCUGAAAUAUCAAUUAUGAUGGCAAAGAUAGAUGAUUACACUUAUCAAACACCUACAAACUUAAUCCUAUGUUGUAAUCAAUAUAGCACUAUAAAAGCUCAAAAAAUAGAAAUGAACUAAAAGAGAGAUUUAGACUUGUCAAAUAAAUUUUGCAGCUUCACUAAAUGAAGUUCAGAUUGUACUUGGUGAUCAAUUUGUUCUAUUUUCGGCAUAAAAUUGAUUAGCUUCCCUAGAGUAAUUGACUUAGAUACUUGAUUAACAAAGAUGUGCAUGAUAUAUAUAAUUAAACGUGUAGAUAUAAGAAGUGAGGCCUAGACCCACGAGAAUUUAACUAGAAAUUUAAUAUCGAAAAAAGUAAAGAAUAGUUGAUUUUAGUGUUGAGGUAUAAAUUUCACGUCAAUUAAAUAACGAAAUAUAAGGAUAUAGGAUAUUUCUCUUAACAAAAUUUACCGUCUGAAUAUAAUAUCAGAGUCCAAUAAGUUUAAAUAACCAUUUCGAUCCUAUUAAGAUUUGAAAUAAGCACACAGAUUCUAUAAUUGAUGUUCUCAAACAAGUCAUUACCGGAAGCAUGUUAGUGUAAAUAUCAUGUUGAGUUACAAUGAAUCGACAUGCAAUGUAUUAUUGAAGACAAUCUUUAAAUGACAUAUGUGGUAUUAUCUAACAGCUCUUCAAGUGGUCCAACAUUAUGUUCAUGAAGUAGGCGGUAUGACUUGUCAACAUGUAAGUGUCCAUGUCAACAGGUUAUUAAGAAAGAGAUUUUUUUUCUUAUUUUUUAUUUUAAUAAGUGCUAGUUAGUUAAAUGUGGAAUUUGAAAAGAGAAACUUCGUGUAAAAUAGGGUAGAAUUUUAUGUCCACUUGACAGAGGCAUUCCAUAGAAUUUUCAAGACUUUUGGUGUGUUAAAGACUUCACAAUCAAGUCAAGAUUUGUCUUGUGGUGCUAACAAAAAUGCAUAUCAGAGUAGCAUGAGAAGAGAAUUCAUCCAAAAGAAAUUUUAAAUUCAGUAUUUCUUAACGAACACACUAAGAGGGAAAAAAAAUAAUAAACAGAGAAUGAUGAACUUUCGUUGAUAAUUAACAAUACAAUUAAUAGAGCCACAAAAUAGAUCUAGUUACAUAGCUGAAAAACUGAUCCCUAAGUUUCAAGAUUACAAAUUCAAAAUUUUAUAAAUAUUGCUAUAUGAAAAUAAAUGUGGAAGAAAAUUAAGCCAAAAAUAAUUAUUUGGUUUCGUAGAUUUGAUUGAUUUCUCAUUUCAAUUUACUCUAGAAUCACAAAAUUUAUCUAGAUGCAUAGCUGAAAAACUGAUCCCUAAGUUCCAGGAUUACAAAUUCAAAAUUUUAUAAAGAUCGCUUUAUGGAAAUAAAUGUAGAAGAAAAUUAAGCCAAAAAUAAUUAUUGGAUAUCAUGGAUUUGAUUGUUAUUCUCAUUUGAAUUUGCUCUAACUUUUUCAUUUAAUUUUAUAUUAAUAACAUAUUAAAAUGUUGUAUAGAUACUUAAAGAGGUUCACCAUCUAGUAAAGCUUAUGUCUAUAUCUGUAAAUAGUAUCAUGUGGCAUGAUUUUUUCUAAAUGUAAAUAUGACCCAAUUUAUAUUAUCAAGUGAAAUUAUAGAAAAUAAAAUUUAUUAAUACUGAUUUACACUUACAACAAGUAACUCCAAACAAAAGUAGAAACUGACAAAAUUUUCAAUAAAAUGUGCGAAGUGUCUAAUUUUAUGUGAGUUUUGAAGCUGAACAGAGAAGAUUGAUCAAUCUUAAUAUUGGUUGUCGCCAUGGCUAAGCAGGCUGCCAUUAGACAGUGCAACAAAAUUGCACCAAGAAAGUAAUUAGACAUUUGCAUAACAAUUUUUCUUUCUACAUGUAGCAAUCCUAGUUUGAAGAUAUAUAUAGUACAGUAGAGAAAUAUUUACGUAUCCUUUUUUAUUUGAAAAAUUCUACUUGUACAUAAGGAGUUACAUAAAAUUUUAUAGAUAGAUGAGAUGUCAAAAAUAAGGAAAUUUUUUUUUUUCAUUUGAUUGAAGAAAUUUUUAUCUAGUCAUAUCUCAUCCUAUCAUGUAUAUGUACACCAAAUUGUAAGUUGUAAUAUACAUAUAACACAACUAAUUUUACUUUAGGAGAUUCAUUUCUUUCCUUUUACCUUUUGUGUCUGCCAUCCAUGACUAUUUUAAAUUGUACUAUAUUAAUUAAUUACGUUUGAUUUUGAAUCUUUAUUCUGCUCUGCACUUUCCUCCUCUUUUUAGUAGAAGAGAAAGUAAGAAAAAAUUGUUCUUUCGGUGGAAUGGCUUUUGAAAGACAUCUUCAUUAAACAAUGACUCGGUCUUCAUUUCAUUAAACAGCUUGAAGAUAUUUCUUCAUAAAAUAUUUCUCUUCAAAUGACCAAAAUGAAUCUAACGUCAUGUUUGGACUCCAUUUUUAUUCAAAACACAUUUUUCUCUCUUCUUUUCAAAAGACCAAAAUGAAUCUAACAUCAUGUUUGGGCUCCAUUUUAUUCAAAAACGUAUUUUUCUCUCUUCUUUUCAAGCACAUGCUCUUCAAUAAAAAAAUAUUAUACUUAAAUCUAAAAUUUUUCAUAAUUUUAACCACACAUUCUUCAAAAAUUGCUAUUCCAAAUUACAUUUUUCCCAAAACUUGAAUGGGGGCCCUAAUUGGAAAUGUGUUUCAAAAGCCAUUCCACCGAGUGACAAAUUUUGUCUAACUUUUGAUUUUACUGAAAAGAAGAAGAAAGUAAGUGCAAUGUGGAAUAAAGAUUGGGAAUCAAACAUAAAUAGUCAAUAUAGUACAAUUUAAAAUAGUCAUGACUUUGUUAACUUUCCACACAGCGUUGAUUUAAUUAAUUAAUUAGUAAAAGUGGAAAAGUAGUUCAUUUACUUUCUUCAUGUGAUUAAACUACUUACCUUUCUCCGUGUCAUGUUUCUAUUCAAAUGUUCAAAACGAAUCUAAGUGGAAAUAUCUUUUCUGUUACAUAUUUUGAAAAUAAUAAGUGAGACCUUUAAUACAACUUUAACAACCCACUUUAUAUUUAUUGCCACCAAUAUACUUCAUUGCUCCACUGUUAUAAACGCACAUCAAUCGAUUAAAGUUUUUGAUAAGGCUGUGAUAGAAAAAAUAAAAAACAUUUCAAAAGUAUAGCUUUUUAUGUCAUUUUCUUACUUCCAUAUUAAUUUAUUAAUAGACAAAUUACUUAAAUCAGUGGCGGACCCAAGGGGUCCUACAGGGUCAAGUGACCCUCCAAAUUUUGAGGUUACUCUUCUUCCUUUCCUGUUUGGUAUCGAUUGAAAUCUAAAUUUUAAUUUAAAUCUAAUAAUUAAUUUUAAUAUUAUAUUUUCAUGAAAUCCUUAGCCUUUUAACUUUUACAUUAAAAUUUACUAAAAAAUUAAUUUUAAUCCCCAUUAAACAGGGCAAAAUCACAAUAAAUUUAAUUUUUUUCUUCUUUUCUCUUAACAAAACCUUUAACUCUUCUAAUUUUUUAAAAUUUGUUUAAUUUUUUUUAUACAAAUUAUCACAUCUACUACAAAUUUUUACUUUUCAAUCAAAUUUUCAAUUAAUUAGAAUUUAAAUUUGCAUUUUCUCCUAUCCUAUUUGUGUACAUAGAAUGUGUUUGAACUGAUUAUAUCCAAUUUAACUUAUAUCUAACAAAUUUUAUUUAUUUGAUUGAAUAUUGGUCAUAUGUUUUCCUUUCAGUCACUUGAGUUGAUUAAAGUAUUAAAUACAUUAUACAUUUUUUAAGCAUAAAUAUGAAUUUUCUUGAAAUGAGCAAAAUAUAAAUAAUUGUUCGAAAUCAAAUGGAUAAAAAUUAUGAGUAAAAUUAAUGAAUUAAUAUUUUUUAAAUGUGAAUCUGCAUUUUCUUGGAUCGAAUAUAAAUCAUUCAAAAAUCAAUAACUAGUAUUCGAUUUGUACAAAGUUUGAUUGUGCCCCCUAACUAGAAAUUUCUACGUCCGCCCCUGCUUAAAAUAUGAUGGAGCAAAAAAAAUAAAAAUUAAAAAAAAUUAAAAAAUUUAAAAAAAAAAUAUAUAUAUAUAUAUACACCAUUGUAUUUAUUCAUUAAUUAUGUCUUUUUACUUCUUCUCUUAUUUAACUUACUUUCCCACUUUCAUUUUAUCAUUCUCCUUCAUUUUUCUUUAUAAACCAAAUAGUUUCAUAGAAAGUUGCAAAAAAUUGAAUAGUACUAAAAGUGCAAUAAAAUAGCAAGUUUUGACUCCCUACAUUAGGAAAUUCAGAUUUGCUCUUUAUUUUUAAUUUUAAAUAUAGGGAAUUCAUUUGCAGUUCUACAAAAUUUACUUUUAAUGGCAAUAAUUUUCAUUUUGAAUGUCAAAAUUUUAUCAUGGAAUAUAAUCAAAAGCCAAAAAAAAUUUGUUACAGGAUAGCCGUAAAGGCCCAUUAUAAAAUGUAUUUAUCGACAAAAUGUAUGUUUGUCAUUGAAAAUAAACAUUCAACAAGCAAAAAGAAAAGAAAAGAAAAGAAAUUGUUGUUCAUAUUCUUCAAAUUUAGUUGUUACUUUUCAUUUAAACGGCAAGAAUGUGGUUGAUGAUUACCAUUAACAAAACUUUUGUUCUUAAAAUCUCAUAAAAAACCAAAUAUUUUUUUUUAUAAAUAAAGUCAUUUAGAAUAUAUAUUAUUAACAUCAACAAUUUGUAACUAAUUUUGUUAUUAAAUUUAUUUUUGUUUUCUUUUUACCUUGUCGUUAAAAAUAUGUCAUUUUUAUCUAUUAAUGUCAAGAAUAUAACUUUAAUAUACUUAUAAUGCACAUAAGUUACACUUAAAUACAAACAUAAUACUUCAAAAAUUGCCCCCCUCCCCCCUCCCAAAAAAAAGGUAACUCUAAGCCCUAAAUAUCCAUGCAUACACCUAGAAGUAGUCUACGUAUAAAGAUAGUAGUGACACGAUCAAUCCCGAAUCAUCCUAGUGGACCCGAAACAUGAUGUGCGUCGAUGGUAAAUGUCAAGUAGGUCUGUCAACACUAACUUCGACCGGCUACGACUAUAAUAAUUUUUUUAAAGAUUUGAUAGAGUUCCCCUUGUAAUGUGCACUAAACGUACUUGAAAAAAAAAAUUCCCAAUCAUGCACAUACGAUGUGAAAUAUGGAAUACGUGACCCUUUUAAUCUGUAGUAAUCAAAUAAAGAGCCAACAAAAAAAAUUAAUUUCCUUUACGAGAAAAAGUCCCAAAUGCACAAAAUAAGUAUAAUAUGUGUCGAGCCCAUUAGAUUAAUACAUAUAACUCCAAAUGACUUAUUCGAUGUAAUAAGUAAUAAAUAUGUGCUCAAAAAGAAAUUAAAACUGCAUGAACUCACAAAAUGAGUCAUACAAUUGAUUAUGGUACGUGAUUCAACUCGACAGAUCAACCAGCUCCAAUUGCUGCUCCAACUCAACUACUACAUGCUAAGAAAAAGGAUGAUAUAAUAUAUGAGUUUGUAUCACAGUGAGUGGACAGUUUACAAAUUAGUAUAUUUUCCCAUUUGUACAUUUUUGCUGAAAAAUCUUAUUUAUUCUAUGACAACUAGUAAAAUCAUUUAUUCUUUAUUCUAAAUAAUCAACUGUAAAUUAUUUUAAAUAUAAGUAAUCUGAUAUCAAUAGAAAUUUGAGUAAAAUGGUCAUUUCACAAUUCUAUAAUGUAAAACAUUUAUUUUUUAAAUUGAGCAACUAAAAUCUAUAAUUUGAAAUCCGAUAAACUAUAAUAAUGUAGAAAAAUAAUACCAAACGGUACCUGAAAUAACCAUACCCAUGUAUCCAUUAAUAUCAAUGUACAUAGAAAGGUUAUUCAUAAUUUGAAAAUUCUUAAAUUCUGAAAUAUUGUAAUUAUGUAAUUCUAGUCAUAUGCGAAGUAGAAUUGUCUAAAGACUAUAAUAUGAUCAUACACUUUGAAAACACAUUCACACUAGUGCAGACUGGAUAAAAUCAUGUGGAUACUUUCUAAUAAUUUUAAAACUAACUUUUAAUGUACUGAAAUAUUUAAUACCGACAUAAUAUACAAAUGAAAUGACUUAGCUGAUUGUGUUUAACUUUAAAAAGAACUAUUUAUUUACAAAAAUUUUAUUUUAUUUUGAAAAUCAUGCUGUCUAAGUCAAUUAUCUAACAUAAGUACCUUUUGCAACUAAUAUGAUUUAAGGCAAGCACUAUAAUAAAUAAAGAUUUCAUAUAAUUAGCUUUAGAACUAAUAUAAAUUAAAUUAGUGAUUAUUUCUGAAGAAGUGAUUUUUUCUAGUCACACAAAUGAUUGCAACGAACUAGGUGGGCAGGUACAAUUUUUCCACUUCUAUGCUGGCUCCUGAAAUAAUCACUUGAUAUUGUAAAAGAAUAGGAUAUGAAAGAAAAUCCAAUUCAUCUCCUACUCUUCGAUAGCUGGCAAUUGCUACUCUUUAUUUUAUUUUUCUUUCUUCUUGUUUCCCUUUUUUCUCUUUUUCGGUUUCUCUCUGCUUCUAAUUUCUUCCAUACCCAAUUAGAAAAUGUAUCCAUUUUCCUUUUAUGUUAAUACAUUAAUGUUGUAUAAUUACAAGUCAAGUUCUUAAUCUUCAUAUAAUUAACUUUCAGCCCUUUAACUCUAAAUAUAGAAACUAAAUCUCUAAGUUCCUUUAUUAUAUUAUCUGUAACCCUUAAGUACGUGUAAUUAUAAUAUAGGCCUCAUGAAAAUUAUUUGUUUAAGUCCUCAUUUACUUUGAGUUUGAACAAACACUCUCUUGACUUUGACUAAAAAUAAGUAGGGUGUAAUAAUCUUCUUCCUUAAAAAGAAUUUCAUCCUUGAAAUUCAAUAAGCUAAAAUUCGAAAACAUAAAGAUAUAGCACAUACAUCUAAUCCUUGCUCUCUUUUGUAGCCUCUUCUCUUCAUGGUUCCUCUAGAGGACUAAAACUAGUAAACUUAUCUUGAUUGGCAAAACUUCCUCGGAGUCUUGCAUUUCCUACAUUUUCUAAUAGAUCUGACCAUUGUUGGCCCCUGAAGUUUUAACUCUUUCUGCUAAGAAAUGUGCUUCACCUUAUAUGAUCUAUAAAUAUCUAACAUUCCUUCCCAUUUCUUUAAUGCCUCCAAAUAAUCACUUCAUCUUCUUGACCUGACUUUGAUUCCAUUCAAGUUGAGGAGAGCUCGAAUGAUUUUAGCGGUGAAUGGACAGUUCGCUGGCCACCUGGACAGCGCUCAAGCGGAUGGAAUACCCAGUGAAACCCUAGAUUUCGAUUUUGAGACUUUUUACAAUGUCAAACAACCUCAAAUAAUUCAUAUUAUAAAUACCCAAGCCAUAGUUCAUCCCUAUUAUAUGUUGAGCCUAUUUUCAUGCAAGAGAACGUCCUGUUGAAGAUCCAUUACACAAUCUAUAGUUCUCUUGACUCCAAAGAGAAAAACCUCUGAGCCAAUUUCACAAUUUGUAGACUGGAAAUGAUGAGGCCAAGAAAAACAAAAUGCUUAAGAUUGAAGGGAGAAGGGGGAUAUUCUAUACAUCUUCACUUUCAAGAACAAAACCACUCACUUUAGAUCCAGAGUAAUAACACAAAUUUACACAAGGAAACACCAAAAACCAAAUAGAUAGAAAUAUUGGCUGAAUUAAAUUUCUCAAGACAGUCUACUAUAACAAAUGUGUGACUUUCGUGUAUCUUUAUUGGUUUUGCCCUUUUACUAUUCUUCUUUUACUAUAAUGCAAUGUGUGCUUGAUUUUUAAUAUAAUUUUUGUUGGUUUUCAGCUGUUAUCUAAUUCAAUAAUGAGAGACCUAUUAUGUUUUUCUCUGUUUGGCUUACAUUAAUCAGCAUAAUAGUAGUCAAUAUUUUAUUUUAGAAACUCAGAUUGUAGCUCAUAUUAACACUUAAUCUGCCUGCUAAAUUCGCCCCAGUUUACAAACACAGCUACACUAUCUAGAAUCACAUAUGACUCGCGUUAACUGUAACUAAACAAAUAAUAUGAAUAAAACCUAAAAACCAAGAAAGGCCCAAAAAUAAUUCACCGCAUAUCAAAUAUACAAUCACUGAUUAUUCAAUUGAAGUUCUAAACUAGCAAAGGAGAAAACACAAACCCUUACAAACCCAUUGAAUAUUAAUACGCUUCUCAACGUGAGUACAAAUAAAUCAAAACGAAUGAUUAAUAUCGUAAAAAUUUACAGAGAGGUUUUCACAGGUGAGAACAGAUAGAGAAAAAUGGCGAGCAAACAGGUCCCAGACAGAAGACAGAACAAUAACUGCAGGGCGACUUACCGGAGGUGGAAAUGAGAAGAGAUAGGCCGGGCGAGAGUAAAAAUGAACAGCAGUCGGCAACCAGCAAUUGAACGAUGUGAGAGAGAAUAAAGCAGCGCGAUCAUGGAUUGAACCAGUCUCUGAUCGACUGGAUCACUGAUUAAAUGGGAAAAGGGAAAGGCUAUCGGAGGAGGAAAGAAGGAUUUGGCGGAAAAAAAAAACUAAAGAGAGAGCUAAGAAAACGAAUGGAAAAAUGAAAGAAAUGGAAAAGAAAAAAGAAAAGGAAAAAAAUAUGGCAAGAUUUUUAACGACAUGCAGAAAUGCAUGUGGUGAAAACCUCUUUUUUAUGUUAUAUCAUUACGGUGUGCAACAUUUACGCCAUAUAUUUUUUACAGUAUAAAUUAACGCAUGCCCUAAAUAAUACAUUUAUAAAAUAAUAUUUUCUUUAUCUAUUUAUAUGGCAUGCUUGAGAAUUAGUCACAAAUAUUAAGAUUUUACAGCGUGUCCAACAUGCAUGCCAUAAAUACUUUACGUAAUUGAAUUGUUACGGCACACAUUUAAUGCAUGCUGUAAAUAAUUAAGUUUUAGGGCAUGCCUUAUAUACGCACCCUAAAUGAAUGUUGUAAAAAUAUACCGUUGUAGUGAUCCUAUCCAAGAUUGCCAAUUGGUUAGGGAUAGAGGAAGAAGGAAAAUUCAAUCAAAUCCAAGCUACGAGUCUAAGAACUUGACUGAUUUUGCCUUAGUUUUAGGUGAAAGCCUUGAGCAUUCAGAACCUAUAUGCCUAAAACUAUUAUCUGGAUAAGGGCAAUGAAGGAAGAAAUGCAACCUUAAUUGAAGAUAAGAAUUGGAAUUUGGAUAAUUUGUCUAAUGGUUAAAGAAUUGUACAAUGCAAGUGGGAUUUACAAAUUGAAAGAGAGGUUUGACUAUAUUGAGAUAUUUUCCCUUGUCAUUCAAUAUAAAACAAUACUUAGAUUGAUUUUAGCAUUAGUUGUUCAAUUCAUUUGGGAACUUGAACCACUAGAUGUUAAAACUGCUUUCCUCCAUUGGGAAUUGGAGGAAAAUAUCUAUGAGUCAACCCUUAGGCUUUGGGGUGAAGAAGUACUUUAUUUGUAUAUUGAAGAAGUUUGAUGGGCUGAUCCUUAUAGGAUAUGUGGAUGUUGAUUUUGUGGGUGGCAAAGAUCACAAAAAUCCAACAUCGCCUAUUUUUUUUUUACAUUGGGGAAUGACUGUAUAAAUCGAAAAACUGUAAAAGAAUACAUUUGCUUUAAAAAGCAUUUUGUGCGAUUUGAAUUUUAUGCAUGAUGCUCUUAUUAUCUCAUUGUUAGUCAAAUUGCAUUGUUGCUUAUUACAAAUCUUGUCCAUCAUGAGAGGUAAAUAUAUGUCAAGGUGAAGUAUCAUUUUCUAAAGGUUAAGACAGCUUCAAGUGAAGUUAAUCUUGAGAAAAUUCAUGUUGAUGAAUGUCCAUUUAAUAUAUAUGAGAAUUAAAAUGCUUUCAAUUAGUAUGUUUAACAUUUGUUUAUCAAUUACGUAUAUUGAUAAUGGAUAAUUCUUUUGCGGUUACCUGGGCAAUGAUGAUGAUCAGCCUGCCAUAAAUGUGCAAUUCGCCAACUAAAAGAUCGAGUGUAUUUUGAGAACCAAGGUGAACAUUGAAGGAGAAACGUGUUUUUCCAAAAUACAACUUAAAAUGGGGACAUUUCUAUAAUUUGUUUUGUAGGCUUGGAAGGAUGGCCCGAAGUGGCAAUCUACAAUUGGUCUAAGAUAUUGAUACUUGGAUCCGUGUUUCUUAAGCUUGCCUAUGAACCGUUGGAUCUAAUGAAUGGCAAUGAUCUCCAUUUCUUAAGAUGACUCUUGGUUAGUCUCAUGAGAAGGGAGUAGAUUGGUUUUUUGGUUUAGUGAUCUUUUAGACUCUCUCAUAUUUUUCUCUCUCUAAGCCAUAUUCAUCUCCUUCUUCUUCAUUGAUUCUGGAACAAUCUCCAGUGUGUUUAAUCUCUGAAAAUCCUUGUAAAAGUGCCCUGCUACAAUAAUCGUUAGGCCUGUGAUAUUGGCUAUGUAUCGUAGCUCUGUUUUGGAUAUUUUGAGAAUAGGGUUUGCAUCGAGUUUUGGAGAUCCUUGGAGGAUUGAUGGACGAAAUUGAUAUCUCAGUGGUUCGAUGUACUUUGCUCUCUCUGUGAUGUGGUUUGCACAUAGUGGAUCGAGUUGAUCCUGAGCCCUCCAAAUUAGGCCUUUUUUUUUUUUUUUUUUGCUGAACUAGGUGACCAUUUUUGGUGUUCUUGUACUUUAUUUUUCUGCCACUUAUUUAUUUGUUUGUGGUGCUGCGUAUUUUACCAUGUUGAUUGAAUAUUUUUGGUUGAUUGAGUUGCUAGAAAUAUAGGUUCAUGAGGGUAAAAUCGGUUUUGGGACCAAUAUUCCCAUCAAUGCACUAACAUAAAAUCAAUGAGUUCUAUGACAAUUUAUAAUGACACGAGUACUAUUUUCAUAAGAUCCUAAAAAGGCCCAACUAAGGAAACAAUUGAUCAAAUUGGCAUCCUAAAAAAAAUAUUGUUACAUAAUAUUUAUGAAUAUGACGACAAUUUCCUCUUACAUCUCAUGACCUUGUCACCUAAACUAUUAUCCUACUAAAUGAUAUUAAGUGUUACUAAUUUUAUAUCACGCAAGUGUACAAAUAGAACAAGCAACAUAAUGGACUACAAAUCCGAAUUAUCGUUCCCAUGAGCUAAUUUAUUAUUUCUAACUCUUAUUCUACAAAAAAACAAGGAAUAUAUUUGUGAUUGGUUGUCUAAAUUAUUUUAAUUAAACUAAAUUAAUCUAAUGUGCACAAUCUAUCAAAUUCGAGUUUUAAAGUAUGAAUGUUGAUGCUAGGGCUUAUAACUUCAUUUAUGAAUUCCUUUUGAUUUUCAAGUCAAGAAUCAAGACUAUAGUAGUUUUCAAUCGAAUUUUCCUAACGUAUUCAAUUUACCUCUCACUAGUUCGAAUUAAUUCUAUUUGAAUAAGCCAAUUCCAUAUCUCUAUGUAGAUCUGAAUAAACCUUAAUUAAAUGCCUUAAAUCUUUAAGAAACCAUGUAACGACCGCAUUAAUUAGAAAAUAGGUCUACACUUUUAUAAUAGCUCCCAAAUUUACCAUUUGAUCUGAAUCUAUAACUCACCUCUUAACUCGUUAUAGAUUCACAAGAUCAUUAAAUUAAUGAUCAUUAAAGCAUUAAAAUUCAUAAAUAAAAACAAUGAUUAAAAAUUAAACUACUAAAAUCUUUAAAAUUAAAUUAAAGGGUCGAGCAUAGAUUACAUUGUUUGUCAUAACUAUGAAUUUAGCUACUAAUACUAAUGAAAGAAAAACAAGAAAAAAGUAUAGACUUUGAAAUCUUGAUAAAGGAAAGAAUAGAAUCUUGCACAAAAAAUCUUCCUCAAUUUCAAAAGUCUUCAAACCCUAUCUUUUUAUCCUUUGAUCUUGAUGAUCAUGUGCUAUCUCUUUCUAAAGCUGUAUGUGUCCCAUAAAAAAAGAGUAAUGAAAGCUAUAUAUCGAAAUAUAGAAUAACUUUAAAAAGAAGUCAUAAUGAAUCCACCAUGUGGAGUUUGAGUGCAAUUAGAAAUCCAUCAAAAAGAUGGAAUUUCCAUUAGUUUACACUUUGGUUUUCAAAAUUAAGUUCUUGUGCUUCCCAGGUCCCCUUUAUUUGCAUGACAGGUACUUUACUUCAGGUCUUGGUUAUUUUGAUCUCCAAUACUUCAAUUUUUAUAUAUCUUCAAUUCAGUUUCAUCCAAACUUGUCCAAUCUGAAUUGUAUCGAGAAUUAACAAAAUUUAACCCAAAUUAAGUAGAUAUCCGCUUAAAAUAAUAAUAAAUAAAUAAGAAGCGAGGUCCAAAUAAAUGCAUAAAAAGUACUUAUCAUUAAACACUCAAUCUUAUCAUGUCUAGAUUACAAAUAUUUAAAUAUCGUCAUACAUCACCUUGACCUUCAAUACAUUAAGUGUUCAUUUAGAAGAGAUUAAGUGAAGUGAGAAUGAUAGCAUUAAGUAAGAAAGACAGAAGAUGAUCUAUGGUUUGAUCUGAACGAAUUUUGUUGAUUGAUUUCAAAUAAGUUGUGCCAAACAAACCCUAAAACCAUAUUGUACCAAAAUUUCAAUCUUAACAUAUAUUGACAUUGGCUUUCUUCACAAAAUAAGUUUCGCUUCACAUUCUCAAUGAAUCACAUUUAUAGUCCAUAUAAUAAAAUAUCUCGUAAGUAUAUAAUUGAACUUUGAUGAUUACGUGAACUUUUGUUUGCUUCAAAAUCCCAAGGUGUUACAUUGACGUCACGUAAUUGUUCUCCUCUACAUAAUAUUCAACAUAUUGUGCUAUCCAAUAAAAUCUCAAAUUCAAUGAUACUACAAGUCCAAAUUUGCAUACCACUGGCUAUUUGUUUCAUCUGGUCUCCCCUUUAACUUACCGUCGUGUUUCCCAAAUAAACUCUCCCCAUUAUCUCCUUAAUUUCUUAAUUCUCUCCAUUAAGAACAUGUUUCCUUGAGCUAAUGUUCUUUUAUCUGGCCAACAUUUCCUUUUCUUAUAACUAUAGUGACAUUACUUACUUUUCUGCACUGAAAGAAUGAAUUAAAACCAAUCAAUCAUAUUCAUGAUAAGAUCAAUGUUACAAGUAUUGAUCUUAUCCUUCCGUUCUGUACAAGAUAGUAAAUUUCCCAUGAGUUCUAAUAAUAAAAUCAACAUCUAAUUUUUUGAGAUAAUCAAGAUUCUUUAAAUUGUAUCCCAAAAUACCUAUAUCUGAACAUUUGUCGGUACCUAUCAUAUAAAACAUAUACAGGAGAAUUUCUUGAAACACCCAUAAACAGUUUAAAAAUCACAUACUAGUUGAUUAUAUACUCCCUUCAUUCAAAUACUUAUGAAUAAGCAAUCUAUAAAAUCAUCAAAACUCUCACUCUAAAUUGGUGAUCUAUACAAAAUUGCACUCAAUAUGUGUACUAGGUUUCAUACACCAUAGUGUCAGCCCAACAACUAAUAGCCAUUUCAACCAUUAGAUCAUUACAACUAAUACCAUUACAUACACUAGCGGACAAAAUGUUUGGCAUUGGGUCACUUGACCCCCAACUUUUGGGCAAAAAAAAUUUUCCCCGUUUUUUGAGCACCAUUAAUUUUCUAUGUUCUUGUCUCAAUUUUUGGGGCUACUAUGGGAUGCUAAAUAAAGUUGAAAUAUUGCAUUCUUAAUAUCAUUUUAAAGUGCUAAGGGCUAGAUUUCCACGUCGUUAACGGGGCACAAAACGAUCAAUCGUAGCAACCGUUUCUGCUUGCCAAAAUAGGUCAUUCCAGACAAGUAUUUCAAAAAUUUCGAUGAUAUGCUAACUUUAAAAAAUAUUCAACAAUAGUACGCCACCAAAUCCACAAAUUGCCUAUGUCAUCUUAAAACUCAUUUCAACAACUAUGUCAUAGAUCUAUCGAAUGAUUAAAAUGGACAUCCAUAAUAGUUAAAGGUGUGUCAAACGUGCAUCUUAAAAGGAAGUGUUAGAAUCUUCCUUAAGCUGCUCAAAGUGAUUUCCGGGCUCAGUUAACCAUUAAACAUCGAAUUCAACACCAAAACAAGAUGACCGAAUCCGCCGGCUUCUCUUCUCCUAUGGUUGCUUUCCUCUUUUGCUUGUUGAUUCAAUCACACACUUAGGAUGGAUACCACACAGGUAAGAGUCACAAAGUCUCAAGCAAUUGGCAUGGAAGACAAUUCACGAAGAAGAAGGCACAAGAGAAGAACGGCAGUCUCUCUUUGCUCUCGGGUUCUAUAUGGACGGGGUUGGAGUAGGGAGAAAAACACCAAUAUAUAUAUUAGUUAAGUGACCAACAUAAGGUAAGUCAAGAUAUGGUAAGUAGGCUCGACUAGGGUUAAGUCCCAAUGGAAAGAAACAACAAGCCACAAAGAGUAUUAGCCGUCCAAUAGGCAAAGCAACGUUUGGUCGGUUCAUCCAUUAUUCGAUGUUGAAUUAUCGUUUAGUCAUUCAUGUCGACUGAUAAAAUUGGUUUUCAUCGUCGCCCGAGAGGUCGUCUGACAACAUGAUGUCUAACAACCUCCACCUUGGUGUCAAAGGACCUGCAAAGAAAAACGUUUUUCCACCUGCAAAGAAAAACGUUUUUCCAUUAGUGACACCUCUAACAGAAAAACCGAUAAAAUUGAAGUCAUUUACCUGUACCGAUGUUUAGAAGCUCUUUGCAACUUCUAAACUUUACCAGUGACAGCACUUUCGUGCCCAUAUCUGAAGGAUUAUACUGUGUGUGAAUUUUUUCAAGUCUUACUACUUCUUGUGAUAUUAUAUCCCUAAUGAAGUGUAACCUAGCAUCGAUAUGUUUAGUGCGUUCAUGAAAAACAGGAUUCUUACACAGAUGUAUGGAUGACUGACUAUCAGAAUACACAACCACAUACUCAUUCAAGACACUCAGUUCAUGAAGUAGACUUCUAAGCUAUAGCGCCUCUUUAAUUGCUUCAGUGGUGGCAAUAUAUUUUGACUCUGUAGUGGAUAGUGCAACUAUGUGUUGUAAAUGUGAUUUCCAACUAACACACGAAUUUGAUAAGGUGAAUACAUAAGAGGAAGUUGAUUUCCUACCAUCCCUAUCUCCUGCAUAGUCAGCAUCUACAAAACCCUUUAAUUUUACGCCUUCUUUAUUAGCACUAAAUUUUAGACCUACGUCACUUAUACCCUUCAAAUAUCUUAAGAACCACUUUAAUGCUUCCCAAUGUUCAGGACCUGGAUUAGACAUGUACCUACUGAGAGUACUAAUAGCGAAUCCUAAGUUCGGUCUAGUGCAAACCAUCAAAUACAUUAUGGAACCAAUCACAUUUGAGUAUGGAAUUUUACUCAUGUAUUCCACUUCACGUUCAUUGCAGGGAGCUUGUUCCUUAGAUAGAACAAAAUGAUUUGCAAGAGGCAACGUGACAGGUUUGCAGUCACUCAUAUUAAACUUUUUCAACACCUUUGAUAUGUAUGGAGACUGAUGCAAGAAUACGAUGAAAUUUGACCUAUUUCGUUCUAUUUCCAUGCCUAGAAUCCUUUUAACCUUUUCUAGGUCUUUCAUGUCAAAUUCUCCACUAAGAUCUGCUUUUAUAUUUUUUAUCCACUUAGGAGAUGAUCCAACUAAAAGCAUGUCGUCCACAUAGAGCAACAAGAAUAAAUAAUUGUUAUCAGUCUCGUUGUGUUGAAAGUACAGGCAGUGAUCGAAUUUACUUCUUUGAAAUCCUAUAGUGAGUACAAAGGAAUCAAACCUCUUGUACCACUGUCUAGGUGAUUGCUUUAGACCGUAUAGGGAUCUUUUCAGAAAACACACAUAAUCAGGUUUUAACUUGUCUUUAAAACCUUUUUGUUGAUUCAUAAAGAUUUGUUCAUCAAGCUCUCCAUGUAAAAAAGCGAUUUUUACAUCGAGUUGUUCAAGUUCCCAGUCAAAGAGCGCAACCAAUGCGAGCAUGACCCUAAUAGUAGUGUACUUGACAACUGGUGAGAAAAUCUCGUUAUAAUCAACACCUUCUUUCUGUGUGUAACCCUUUGCUACUAACCUAGCCUUAAAUCUUAAGGGUUCUGAACUACUAGUACCUUCCUUAACCUUAAAGACCCACUUGCAAUCAACUUACCUUCCUUAACUUAAAGACCCACUUGCAAUCAACGAUUGAUUUAUUCUUAGGUCUCGGUACUAACUCCCAAGUUUGAUUCGUUUCUAGAGAACUCAUCUCUUCUUUCAUAGCCUCAAGCCAUUCCUUAGAUUGACCACUAUUCAUAGCCUCUUCAAAAGUUUCUGGCUCCCUAUCAACUAGUUCUUAGUAACUAGCGUAUACAAAAUCCAAUUCAGAUUCAUACCCGAACCUCCUAGGUUCUCUCGUUUGCCUUCUCUCUCUAUCUCUAACUAAGUUAUAGUUAGCUAAUGGAUUUUCUUCCUCAGGAUGCUCUUCUAUCACUACUUCAUUUUCCUCUUCAGGUUCUUGGACCUGAAUCUCCACCUCACUCGAAGUACUAGGUACUGAUGUGUUAAAUUUUCCUAACUCCACCUUAAACCGAUUUCUUUCUUCACUUGAUUCAGUUUCACUUACUGGUUCGGUUUCGUUCUUUAGACAAGGCAUCUCAUUCUCAUUAAAUGUGACAUCCCUACUCACGAUGAUCUUAACUCCUUUUUGGCUUCUAUCCCAUAGCCUAUAGCCCUUAACCCCUUCGGGAUAUCCUAGAAAGACACACUUCCUGGCUCUAGGUUCUAACUUUCCCUCACUUUGAUGAGAAAAGGCAGCACAGCCAAACGCUUUAAGCAUUGAGUAGUCACCCAAUUUUCCAGAUCAUUUCUCAUGUGGAGUAUCACCAUUUAAUGUAGCCGAUGGAGUCAAAUUUAUUAGAUAACAGGCAGUGACAACGGCUUCACCCCAAAAUGACUUAGGAACCCCAGAACUUAACAUCAUGCAGCGCACUUUGUCUAGUAUGGCCCUAUUCAUUCUUUCUGCUACCCCGUUUUGCUGGGGAGUAUAAGGAACCAUUUUGUGCCUCAUUAUUCCACUUUCUUUACACAUCCUAUUAAAUUCAGCAUUACAGAAUUCUAGGCCGUUAUCUGUCCUUAAAAAUUUGAUCCUCUUACUAGUUUGGUUUUCCAUUUGUUUUUUCCAAUUGUUAAAGUUAUGGAAGGUUUCAGUUUUGUCUUUCAAUAGAUAGACCCACACUUUCCUGGUGUAGUCAUCUAUGAUAGAUAGGAAAUACCUAUUCCCACCCGAUGUAGGAUUACUAGCAGGACCCCACAGAUCAGAAUGCACAUAUUCAAGCAUGCUUUUAGCCUUAUGCGUACUGGUGGAAAGCGACACUCUAUGGUGCUUUCCAAGCACACAGUGAUCACAGAACGAUAGGUCAGACACACAGUCAUUACCAAAUGCACCUUUUUCAUUAAGUAGUUUAAGUCCUUUAAUGCUUACGUGUGCAAGCCUACUAUGCCAUGUGUGUGUGUGAUCGAUUUUGGUGGAAGAAAUAGAGGAUUUUAAUCCUCUAAUCAUUUCCCCAGUAGUGAUAUAAAUGUCAUUUUUCUUGAUUCCCUUAAUAGAAAUUAACGCACCCUUCAUCAUUUUAAACAUACCGUUUUCAAUUUUACAAGUGAAGUUGUCUUUCUCAAGUCUUCCUACUGAAAUCAAAUUCCUAGAUAAUUCCGGAAUGUAUCUAACUUCCUUUAACACGUACACAAAGCUUGUGUUAAAUUUUAUCUUUAUAUCUCCAAUUCCAGCAAUUGUAUAGGUGAAGUUAUCACACAGAACUACUUGCCCAUCAUUAGAUUCUUGCAAGUUUUCAAACCAGUUCUUUUCAGAUGUCACAUGAAAAGACGCACCAGAAUCUAAUAUCCAUUCAUGCAUGUGAGAAUUAGUAGUUAGAUUUAAUUCAGUAGUGUAUGCGACUGGACUAGUAAUCACAUAGACUUCACCGUUUUCGGUAUCGGAGGUAGCGGAUAACACAUUUACCUCAUCUCUUUCCUUAACCUUCUGUUUUCCCUUUUCUUUAUGACAGUCUUUUAUAAAAUGCCCUGUGCCUCCACAGCCAUAGCAUUUUCUACCCUUAGUUCUAGACUUUGAUCUAGGUCUACCAUUCCCCUUCUUUUUCCAACUAUUACUACUUGAUUCGCCACUACUUUGGUAUCCAUCAUGACUGGCUUGCCUAAAUUGUGUUCUACCCCGCAUCAUAUGCAACUCUCCACUCCUCCUAUCCUGUUUUUCAGCCCUCAUUUUCAUCUCCUUACUCCUAAGAGAAUCUAUGACAAUUUCAGGUGUUAACAUGUCCCUACCAUAUUUAAUGGCAUUUUUAACUUCCUUAUAAGAGUCCGGGAUUGAAUUGAGCAAGAUAAUGGCCUUAUAGGUUUCAGACACGGCUUCGUCACAAUUGACAAUAUCUUGCACCAAUUUGUUAAAUACAUCUAAAUUGUCGUCGAGAUCCUUUGAAGGAUCCAUUUUAAAGUUGAAGAAUCGUUCGAGUAGGUAGAGUUUAUUCGGUGUAGAUUUAAGCAAGUAUAAGUCUUCUAGUCUUUUCCAAAGUUCUUUGGUGGUUUUUAGUUUUCCCACUUUUCUUAAGACAGCGUCAGACAAGUGUAAUAUUAUUGAGGUAUAGGCAAGCUCAUCGGCUUCCUUUUUUUGUUCUUUUGAGAUAUCAGGUGCAAAAUUGCCUUCGAUGACUUUUGACACCUUUUGUUGGACUAGUAUGCCUCUCAUCUUUUGUUGCUAGAUAGAGAAGUCCCAUUUACUGUUAAAAAUUCCCAAAUCAAAAUUAUGUGUUGUCAUUGAUUAACACACUAAUUAAACCACACGAAGUAGUAUUGGGAAGCGUGAUAAGGUAAUAUCUUGUUAAUUCUUAGCAAAAGUAACAAUGAACCUAAACGCUACGUCCACCAAGAAAUACCAAGCACUUUAAAUCAAAAGAACAAACACUCAAUUAACGCAAGUAAUCCUAAUUCUAGUACAAGCAAUGGUUACCCCUUCACGGUAACCCCAAAACCUAACGAUCACCCCACACGAUGAUCUUGCUAUUGUUGAAUUUAAAUGAAUUAAGCCAAUUUACCAGAGUGGACCUAUUUGAGUCCGUAGAGUGGAGAAAAACGAGCUUGCUGUUGAAUUUCAGUCGGCGUCGUACCAAAGGGCAAAAUUGUCCAACUUUUUCUGUGUAACCUGAAACACAAAACAAAGUAUAUCAGCGCGUUCAGGAGAUCGAAACAAACAAGUUACCUGAAGACUGCGUCACCUGAAGACUGCGUCGUCGGAAAACUGCCCACGCGCCGCCCACGUGCCACCGCCGGCGGCCCACGCGCCGCCUAUCCCGAAGCGCCUCGGCCUGCUGAUGAUGGGUAUGGCCUCCGUUUGUCAAAACAAGAUGAUCGAAUCCGCCGACUUCUCUUCUCCUAUGGUUGCUUUCCUCUUUUGCUUGUUGAUUCAAUCACACACUUAGGAUGGAUACCACACAGGUAAGAGUCACAAAGGCUCAAGCAAUUGGCAUGGAAGACAAAUCACGAAGAAGAAGGCACAAGAGAAGAAUGGCAGUCUCUCUUUGCUCUCGGGUUCUAUAUGGACGGGGUUGGAGUAGGGAGAAAAACACCAAUAUAUAUAUUAGUUAAGUGGCCAACAUAAGGUAAGUCAAGAUAUGGUAAGUAGGCUCGACUAGGGUUAAGUCCCAAUGGAAAGAAACAACAAGCCACAAAGAGUAUUAGCCGUCCAAUAGGUAAAGCAACGUUUGGUCGGUUCAUCCAUUAUUCGAUGUUGAAUUAUCGUUCAGUCAUUCAUGUCGACUGAUAAAAUUGGUUUUCAUCAUCGCCUGGGAGGUCGUUUGACAACAUGAUGUCUAACAGGAAGCACCUAACUUGUCGUUUCAUUACAAAAUUUUAAUUGCUUAUUAAUAUUUACUAUUUUUGCUUGUCAAAUUUCUCAAUAUAAUUUACCUCAUUUUCUUAGGAAAUUUUACAUGAGGUAUGUUGUGAAAUUUUUUUCGAAAUUUUACAUCUAAAAAAUUCAUAACCCGUGUAUAUUUUUGGAAGUAAAAUUUGAAUGUAAAUUUAUCUGGUUCAUGACUUUUUCCAGAUGUAAAAUUCCUCACAACUUUUUUGCAAGUUUUGUUGUGCCUUCCUAACUCAAAAUAUCUGCGUACAAAACUGAUUGCAUAGGAUUGUCCUUGAAUAUUCUACAAAGAUUCUUCCACUGAUUGCAUAGGAUUGUCCUUGAAUCUUCUAAAAACAUUCUUCCAUUGUCUUGGAUUCAAUGCAUUCUAAACAGCUUGGGAGCUCAUGACUUCUACCACCAUUAAAUAUUACUAUACACACUGAAUAUGCAUGAUGUGCUAAUGCACGAACAAUAUGGACUAACUUUGACCUGCUAUGACUACAAUAAAUUUUUAAAAGAGUUGAAAGAGUUCCCCAUGUGAUAUGGACUAAACAUACCUAAAAAGCAAUAAAUUUUAUCAAGCAUACAAGCAUAAUUGGUGAGUACGUAUCCCUUAAAGUGUGUGGUAAUUAAAAUAAGGCCUAAUAGUACAAAAUGUCCCUACAUUUGGCUUGUAGUGUGCAAAGCGUCCCUACGUUUCAAAUUUUUGCAUUUUCGUCCCCAUUUCCGUAUUUCAUUGCGAAAACAUCCAUUUCACCAAAUUUUAAUGUAAAAUGAUCAAUUUACCGUCCUAUUUAAAUGAAACAAAAAAGAAAAAUAAAGGAAAAAUUGCAAUCUUAUUCCUAAUCUUUUAAAAAAGUGGAAACAAGUCCAAAUAAAUUAUUAAAAAGCUUAAUAUCACAAAAUGUCCCUACAUUUGGCCUGCAGUAUGCAAAACGUCCCUACGCUUCAAAUUGGUGAAAAGGACGUUUUCCACAAUAAAACGUGAAAAUAAAAAUGAAAAUGCGAAAAAAUUGAAACAUAAGACGUUUUGCACACUACAAGAAAAACGUAGGAACGUUUUGUACUAUUAAGCCUUAUUUAAAAAAAAAAAAAAAAAAAAAAAAAAAAAAAAAAAAAUCUUUCGCUCUUCUCUUCUUCUCUAAAUGGGGGUUGCUACUUUAGAAGCCAAAAAACUCCAGUCAAUUGCCGUCCAAACCACACAGACCUCCAUACAACGGGAAAGCCCUCACUCUUAUCUACACAUAUCACCAAACAUUCAACCUUCAUGUUAACAGAUUUGGCCUGCACUAGCAGUAGUUCCCACCAUCGUGGACCACCCAUUUCGGCUUCGAUAUCACACCGCAUCUACUACAACAAUGGGCUCCCAUAAAUUUCAUUCUAAUAUGCCUCAAAAUAUAUGGCCAGUUAUUGUCCCAUAAGAAAUUGAAAGAUGUUGCAGUAGAUUUUGAUUUUUUACAUCAAUUGAUGUUUUAAGACCAUGAAAAGAGGUACUCCUGGUGAGUAUAGUCGAUUGGUGUGCUGAAAAUGGCAUGGACCUCUCUGGAAUAGGUGGUGCCGCCAAUAUGUGUAUUCGUGAAUUGAGUAUUUUAACUGGCAAUUCCGUGAAGUUGGAUAUUGGGUGAUAUGUGUGGAGGGAAGUGAGGGCUUUCCGGUGGUAUGGAAGUCCGACGGUUUGGGGAUGGCUGGCCAGAGUAUUUUUGCUUCUAAGGUAGAGGCUCCUUUUGGAGAAGAAGAGAAGAGAGUUUCUUUUUUUUUUAUUAUUUAUAAUGUUUUAAAUAAGGCUAAAUAGCAAAAAACAUCCCUGUGUUUUCCUUGGUGUGGUAAACAUACCUACGUUUCAAAUUUUUUAUAUUUUUAUCCCUAUUUUCACAUUUCAUUGCAGAAAAUGUCAUUUUCAUCAAUUUGAAAUGUAUGGACGCUUUGCAUAAUACAGACCAGACGUGGGGAUGUUUUGUGCUAUUAAGCCUUUAAUAAUUUAUUUGAACUCAUUUGCACUUUUUAAAAAUGAUUUGAGGUAAGAUUGCAAUUUGCUCUUUAUUUUUGUUUUCCUUUUUUGGUUUUAUUUAAAUAGGAGGGAAAAUUGGUCAUUUUAUGUUAAAAAUUGGUAAAAAUGACGUUUUCCGCAUUAAAAUGUGGAAAUAUGGACGAAAAUGUAAAAAUUUGAAACACUUCGACGUUUUGCACACUACAGGCCAAACGUAGUGCCAUUUGUGUUAUUAAGCCAUCAAAAUAAAGAGCAUGCAAAAUGAUUUUAAUGUUCUUAACAAGAAAAAGUUCCAAAUGCAUAAAAUAUAUAUAAUAUGCAGCGGGCCUAUUACACUAAUACGAAUAACUUCAAACGAAUUAUUCAAUGCACGAAAUGUGUCCUAAAAAAAUGUAAGAUUGCAUGAACGGACAGAAUGAGUCAUAAAAAAGUGUGACAAAAUAUUUGAGCUUCUAAUUCAGUGAGCAUCUAGUUCACAAAUAAGUAUAAUUUUUCCAUUUAUAUAUUUUUUUUUUAAAAAAAUCUUAUUUAUUCUAUUGCAACUUUAAGCAAUUCUAGAUUUUGAUAAUUAUUUUAAGGCAUGAUGUGAUAAUAAAAUCAUUUAUUCUUUAUUCUAAAUAAUGAACUGUAGAGUAUCUUGAAUAUAACUAAUGUGAUAUCAACAAAAUCAGAGUAAAAUUGUCAUUUAACAAUUCUAUAAGCUAGAAUCUUGUAAACUGAAUAACUAAAUUCUAUAAUUUGAAAUAGGGAUAAUAGCAGCUGAGGUCCAACCCUGUCAAAAAGUUACAACUUUUUCCUAACAUUUCAUUUGUAGCAGCCGCCAUUCCAAAUCUUUCAAAAGGUUACGAAUGAAGUCCCAAUGGAUGGAUUCCAUCUAUAUUUCAGUUAGUUGACCGAAAAAUUGGACUUUGACCACAUAUUAAUCAAUUAUAAAAGGAGAAAAUGGUAAAUUUAUAUUUUUUCACAUUUAAAAAAAAAAAUUAAACAAACGCCCAUCCCAACCCCAACCCAAAUUCCAUUUUACCAUUGGCAUUAGAUCUAUUGUACGAAUUGAAACAAGCAAGCUGUAGUUUGGUGUCUCGGACAGAAGAUUAUAGCUCAAAUCAAGUGAUUUCAAAGUACGAAAAAAAGUGUGAAAAGGGAAAGUGCCAGAGAAUUGAUUGUGGGACAUAUUCAGGUGAGAUGGAAACAUAAGAUUCCCAAGAAAAGGAGUUAUGGUUCCAGGAAUACACUUACCUGGUGUCGAUAAAUGGGUGACACACAAGUCACGAUUGCAGGUUGCACCUUCCCAUUUUUAGCAGUCGACUGAUGACCAGUUAAGAGGAAUUUCUAAUGGUGGGAAGGAAAUAUGUUUAUAGAACGAUAAAAGAGAAUAACCCUCCCUCUAGUUUUGGGGGUGGGGUUGGGGUAGGGGUUGGGAGUGAGGGUGAGGGUGAGGAAGAAGAAACUUUUUUUCCUUUUUAUUUUCUUUUCUUCUUCUUUUUUCUGUUGUUUUUUUAUUUAAGUUUUUUAAUGUGAAAAAUAUAAAAUUAUCAUUUCGUCCUUUUAUAAUUGAUUAAGAUAUGGUCGAAGUCCAAUUUUUUGGUUAGCUAACAGAAAUAUAGAUGGAAUUCAUCCAUUGGGGCUUCAUCCGCAAUAUUUUGAAAGGUUUGGAAUGACAACUGUUACAAAUGAAAAGUUAGGGGAAAGUUUGCAACUUUUUCAAAAGUUUGGGACCUCAACUGCAAUUAUCCUUUUGAAAUGUGAUAAAUUGUAAUAAUACUAAAAAAAGUCACGCCCAAAAGUACUCAAAAUAACUCUACCCAAGUAUCAAUUAAUAUUGUUGCACAUGGCAAGGCUAUUCAUAAUCUGAUAAUUCUUAAAUUUUGAAAAUUCUAUAAUUUUGUAUUUUUAUAAUUCUGAAAUUUUAGUCAUAUGUAUGCAGGACUUCCUGAAGGCUAUAUUCAGAUCAUACACUAUGGAAACUCAUUCACAUAGUGCAUAGCAAGGAAAAUAACUAUAUUAACUCGUAUAUUGCAAGCAAGUAUAAUAACCAUAUUAUGUCAUAUACUAUGGAUAUACAUUCAAACUAUGAUAAAAUCACAUGGUACUUUCUUGUGGUUUUGGAACAACUUUACAUACACUGAAAUGUUUAAUACUAAUAUAAUAUGCUCAUGAAAUGAUUUAGCUGACUGUGUUUAACUUUAAAAGGAAUUGCUUAUUUAUAAAAAUCUAUUUUUAUUCUGAAAAUCAUGAUAUCUAACUUUGUCAUUUGAAAUAAGUAACAUUUGCAACUUAUAUGAUUUACGACAUGCACUAAAUAAAUAAACAUUUCAUAUAAACUUUAGAACUAUUAUAAACUAAAUAAUUGCUUAUUUAAAAAAAAAUGGAGUUCUUUGACCACUCACAGAAUUGAUCAUAGUGAACUAGUUGGGUAGGUACAAAUUUCCCACUUCUAUGUCAGCUCCUGAAAUAACAACUUGAGAUUGUAGAAAAAAUGACCACUUGAGAAAACCCAACAGUUGAAGAAGUGUAUAUUGCCUCCUACACUUUGUGAGUAGGCAUUGGCUCCACCUUUUUUUCUUCCUUUCUUUCUCUUUUUUGAUUUCUCUUGCUUCUGGUUUCCUCCUUACCCAAUUGAAAAAUGGAUCCAUUUUCCUUUUAUGUUAAUAGAUGAAUAUCGUAUAAUUGCAAGUCAAAUCCUUAUCAUACAAUAUAACUUCCAACCCUUUAAUUCUAAUAAUAAAAACUAAAUCCUCGGUAGAAUCGAGGAACAGUAUAGCAGAAAUGGGAACGUGUCUGAGCGAAUUUCGCAACAUUACAAAAAGAUGCCCAAUACUUCCCUCCCCCAUAGAUUAAUAUUGUAUGAUUGUAAGUCAAAUCCUUAAUCUUCAUAUAAUAUAACUUUUAGCCCUUUAACUCUAAUAAUAGAAACUAAAUCCCUGGAUUCCUUUAUUAUAUUAUCUCUAACACUUAAAUACUUGAAAUUGUUAAAUAAGCCCCAUGAAAGUUUUUUUUGGGUAAACUUAUGUCCUUGUUUGAUUUUGAUUUUGACUAAAAAUAAGCUGUACGUAACAACUUGAGUUCUAAUAAUAACCUUAAAAUAAAAAAUAAAAAUAAAAAUUUAUAGAAGAAUUCCAUUAAUAAUUGUCUAUUUAUGUCAGUAAUGCAUGUUGACUACAUUUCUGUUAGGUUGUGAAUGGCUAUUCUGGUUUUAAUGGUGGAGAAGUAAACGUGGUUGAUCGUUAAAAUUUCGUAAGUGCCAGGUAUUGUAAUCAAGUAAUAAAAUAGUAAAUAAGGUAUCAUUUCGUCAAAUACUUUGUACGUGUUCUACUUCUAAAUAAUACUAAAUUUCUGUUUGACAGGAAUAUUUUUCGAAACUCUUUUUAUCUCAAACUCAUUUUCAACUAUACAUCCACACAACAAAAUAUUUUGCACGUAAAAAAAUAAAAAUUAAAGCUACUUCUUAGCCACAUAUUCUUAAAAUAAAAAAUAAAAAAAAUAAAAAAAUAAAAAAACCUUUUUAAAGCUCAUUUUCUCAUUAAAAAAAAAGAAAAAAUCUUUUUAAUAUUUAUCAAACAGGGUCUAACCCUAAUCAAACAGUCAAUUUUUGAUUUACUGAUUUUGUAUAAAUCAUCUAAACUAAUAUAGUGAAAAAUUAAAAGGCUUUCAUAAAACCAGUUAAAGCAUACGCAUUAAAACUUUAAAUACACCUUUAUUUACUGUUAGAAAAUAUUAAAUAUGUGUGUCAUAUUUUUGCAUAUCUCUUAUAUUGGCUUGAUUUUUAAUUAUCAAACAUUGCGAUAAGUAGCAGAUUUGUCUAGAGUAUUUGAACUAUGAAUUUUAUUGUGUUUCCUUAUAAGUGCAGCUCGCAUAUCUUAAGUUUUAUAGCAUCUUGUAUAUUUUCAAAUUUGUUUAGAAGGAAAUAUAUGGAUAUGUUAAAUUAAAUUUGUCUUUCCUUAUAUUGGCAUUAUACAAAUCUAGAAAAGCUUUUAGUAUAUUUUAUACUAAUUUUCUUACCACUUUUAUUGCGUAUUGUUUGGUAAUAAUUAAUUCUUUAUUUUGAUGAUUACUUUAACUAUAAGUAAUGUAAGAAAUCAUAAUAGCAAUUAGGCUUUUGAAAUAUCAAAAUUUUUAUCACUAUUUCCAAAAAGCAUAGGCUCGACCGACUUCACAAAAAGUGAACACGAUAUGAUGCUUCAUUGAUACUUUCAAAGAAAACGUUUUCUUCAUACCUUUGAAAAAAUAAAAAAAAUAAAAAAUUGGUGCUCUAAUUAAAAUUUCAUCUUUUGAUCAAACUACCUGAUGUGAAGUUAAGAACAAGUUCUUAAUCCAAAUGAUAGUUGCGGUCAAGUGCAAUGGGGAAAUGUUGUUAAAGUCAAUGCCAGUGAAUUUGAUUUCACUUCAUCAACAAGUGAAAAGAAGAAACAAAAGAGAGUUGUUCUUAGUUCUUUUUAUUGAUAUUUUAUUAAUUUUGUGUAAUUACAAGAAUCAGAUACUAUGUAUUUUUUUUUAAUCAAAAUUCUUAGUGAACUGUUUGACUCGUGGUGGGGCUUGUAGAUAUUUUCUUUCAGGGUUUACCACAUUAUAUUUGGGGUUCGUGUUCAAUUUUAUUAGUUAGUUUCGUACUUACCAAAUUGUAGUCAUGAACACAGUCACAUGCUAGUCAGAUGCAGCAAAAUUCAUUAGAUUGCCCACCUAUAUGGGCUAGCGGUCAGAAAGUAUUGUGUUUCUGCCAACUGUAAUUUAAACAUAAAUAGGUCCAAUCGCACCUUGUUUUCCAUUGCGAUCACAGCGGUCACAGUUCUGCCUUUUGUGCAAUUUGAUUCCCAACUUUGUCUUUUUGUUUGGUUUGAGCCGUUCUUAUGUAUGAUUUUAAUAUCUUCUGUUUUAGUCAAAUUAGAUCCAUGUAAUCUUAAUUUUUGUUCCUUAAUCUGAAUUAACUUUUAAAGAUUUGCAAUUUACAAAUCGAACUUUCUAAUUCUUCCCUAUUGCCCUUCUUUGAUCGAUUCUUACUUCUUUUUAUAAAAGCCAUUUAAACUUGAGUUUAUCCCACAACAAUCAAUAUUUAAUUAACCAAAAUAAAUAAUAAUUUCGUCAAAUAGACUAACAAGUAUCCGCUUUUGAUGGCUCUAAUAGGUGAAUCACACAUGUAAAUUACACUAAAACUUGAACAUUUGUUCGGCCAGGACAAAAUUAGUUAUUAACACGCACCAAUAAAGUACAAAUAACGUAGUUAGAUAGUGUGCAGUUUUGCCUCUUGGUUUGAAAUCACUUGUACAAUUAAUAAACGACUUCCAAGAUAUGCUACUGAGAUUAAUUCAGCCAAUUAUACAUUGUUAAAUAAAUGUGGUACAAAGUUAAUUCAUCAAAUAAAAUUUAAAAAUGGUUAUUUUCCCAACCCUUGAUAUUGUCAAAUAUUUCUUUUUCUUCUCUCUUAUCAUGCACACCCUAAAAUUAUUCUUUAUUUUCACUCCUACAGUUUUGAUUCUAAGUUGAAUAUCUUAUCACUCAUUCCUUUCUUGCUCACGUUCGAUUGGGUUCAACAAAUGGAAGCCACUACUUCGACUAGUGAUAACUCUCAAGAUUUGAAUGUCUCAAUCUCCAAACUUUCCCUAAACUAGUAAACUUUAUGUGAAAUAAAAAUUUCCAAAUUAAGUGUCCAAGGCUUAAACUUCUCAAAUUAAGUGUUGAAGGCUUAGUCAGGGAGUGCAACGUCAUUGAUAUUCCUAAAUCAUUUAUAUGUUGACUAAAUGUGAAAUAUUGUUUUUUCGAUAAAUAAACAUAUAGUUAGAUUAAUAUUAUGUUUCUAAUGUAAGUUCUAUCCUUAUUUGUGGAGAUAGAAUUACUGUUUGCAUAAUCGUCUAAAUCAAAAGUUUGAAUGCAACCCACAUUUUGUCGGGGGUUUUCGUUGCUUUCUUCAAAUUAGAAUAUUAUGAUAUUUGAGAAUAUUUGAAAUGACAAAUUACACAUAGUGAAGAACUUGUCAAAAUUAAUAUUUGCAUAAUGUUGAAAAUCGGAUAUCUGGUGAAAGGAUUUAAAAUGUACUAAUAAAUAUAUUUUACAAGUUAGAGUAUAGAUGUUUCGUGAAAAUUCUCUAUACAACUCGAGAGUUGAAAGAAAUUUGAGAAUUCAAUAGAGCUAUAAGCAUGAUGGCUUCAAAUUUUUUCGAAGGAUUUCUAAUUGGUAACAAUUUGUGCAUGUUAUAUCAAUUGAUUGAGAUAGCUUGUUACAAAUGGAAUGGCACAGAAUAUCAUGUAUAAUGGCAAAUUUCGACAUAUGCGUUAUAGACAUAAUACCAUUCGACAAUUACUCUCAAAUGGAACAAUACAUGUUGUUUUAUCAAAGAAUAACAAAUUGGAUCCUUUAAUAAAUGGGUUAUCUAGAGAAAUUAGAUUGCGCAUCGAGAGAAAUGGGUGUAAUACCUAAAUUAAUGGGUCACCUUAAUGAAAACAUAACCUGCCAACUAGAGAUUCCAUGGACUAGGCUCAAUAGGAAAACUAGUUAUGAUUCAUUUGAUAUUUCUGUAAUACAAACAAGUGCUGCCUACCAAAGAUUGAUUAUGAUAACUUAAGAUUUUAUUGAUGAUUAUAUCUUGUAAAUAGUACAAGUGGAGUAUUGUAAGACUCUUUAUAGAACAUCACCUAUAUCAAUGCGAGUUUGAUUGAUUCUAUGAGAAUUUUACUUGGGUGAAUUCUCUAGCACACUUGUAGAACCAAGAAGGUUCAAGGCCAAAAUAAUGAAUACAAUAUAGGACCGACAUUUGAGGUAAAAGUUAAUGUGUUCGAUAUAUUGUCUAGGCUUAUAGCCAAUAGUUCAAAACGUUCCAUUCUCCGAUUAGUCAAGUAAGUCCGACGGUUUCAUACUAGGGGAAGGUUCAAACCGAAAGCUAUCGAUCAUGAUGCAUGACAUUUCAAUUGUACUCUUCAUCCUCUUCCUUAUUCUGAGUCGAUCAUUUUUCAUUUACAUGAGGGAUUAUUGGAAUUAAUAGUUUAAUAUAUACUAUUUAAAUGUUUGAAUUGAAAAAUUCUACAAUAGGUAUGAUAACUAGACACCACUCUUCAAUUACAAAGGGUGCAUAAUAAAGGGUCAUGAUCUUAGGAAUGAACAUGACUAUUCAAAAGGUGUAUAUUAUGAGAAGUCCAGAUUUUUUAAUAUGGUAUGAUCUACACCAUCAAUUAUGAAAUGGUGCAAUCUAGUUAUCAAAAUAAAUUUAUGCCAAAAAAAUGCAACCAGUCGAAGAGACAUAUGACAACCUAUAAGUAAGUUCCUCCUAAUUUCCUUUUCUUCCCUCCAAAUUAAUUCCUACAAAUGGUUUCUAAUUCUUUCUUUCUCCAAAUUCUGUCAAAAUAAUUUUUAAAUUAUUUUUGAGUUUCGUGUUCGAUAUUAGUCCCUUUUAGAAGAGUACAUCAAGCAUUGGUUUAUCUAAUAAAAUUAAUAUUGUGUUAUAUUAAUUUUGGAAGAAGUAUUGCAUCUUGGAAGACAUACUUCAAUUUGAUCAUGUUAAUACCAGUGCAGUGGGUGAAAUUCGUUUUAACGAGAUUUGCGUUCGCAUACCUCACUUCAUUUCAUCUCAUUCCAAUUUCUGCAUUUCAGUAAAUCAAAAUUUAUGCACCUGCCAUGAUUUUGGUAAGUUGUCACUCUAUCUAUAUUAACAUGCAUAUAAUUUUUAUUAGCAGAAUAUAAAUUAUGCAUGAAUUUAUCACAACACUUUAAUGGGUAGUAUUCAACAUAGGACGUGGAGGCAUUGUGGAUGGGAGAUGAUCUGAUCUUUGCCAAAGAAAAUGGGUUCAAUACGUUCUCCAUCAGUUUGCUAAUUAUAUUUAAUAGUAUUUUAUAAUGUCACACACUAACAGUCCUAAUGUCGUACAAUUUUAUAUUAAAAAUAGCCAUUCUAUAGACUACACAUGGAUACAAGAAGUCUAAUACAAUUGAUGUACAAAAAUUGAACGUAUAUGUAUUGAAGUUGUAUAUGACUUCAUCGCCAACAAAUAGACACUGCAUAUAUUAAAAAUUAGAAUUUUGCUACUUAACCUGAAUGGUUAAAAAAGUCCCAAAAAAAGUGGGGCCCCCGUCAUUGUAAGAGACGGUCACCUCCUCUGUAAAAAAAAUUCAAGUACUGUAGCGGAAUUGUUAAUUGGGUUACUACAAAGUAAUGCAAUUUCUUGUAUAAAAUUUGAUCCAAUUUUCUUGUGUCGUUUGCAAAAUAGCGUCGGGUCGCCAAAUGAGGUAAGGAUUAGUAGUAAAGUCAGUGAGUCAAGUUUGAUGAGUCGUUGCUUCCUUCCAACCAUUAAUUGUUAAUAUUAUCCUAAAUUAAUUAUCUAUUUCUUAUCCUAAACUUUUUUAGACUUUUAGACCAACUAACAAAACUAGAAAUAUUGAACAAACGCAGCAGCACACGCUUAGUGGGUCCGUUUAAUGGUUAACGAUUAAAGUUUUAUAUUUUGUUCUGCCAAAACUAACAAUUUAUCGCAUUACAUAAAAUAAGAAAUUGAGUUUGGUUUAUUAUUAUUAUUAUUAUUAUUAUUAUUAUUAUUAUUAUUAUUAUUAUUAUUAUUAUUAUUAUUAUUUAAAACAUCGACUAAACACAUGUUUUAAAAUCACUAUUUAAAACAUGUGCUCGGCAGGUCCACACGAUAAAAUAACUAUGACUACAAGCCAGUCCCCGUAGGUUUGUUAUAAAAAGAUUAAUAAAAUAAAUAAAAAUAAAAAUUUAAGAGAAUUAGAGCACGUGCAUCUUUUGCUGAUUAAUUAAUCCAACAAUUUUGAGCCAGUAGUUAGAAAACUUGUUAGAAUAUAAAAUUCAAGAUGUAUUCGUUAGGUAUAGUCAAACAUAUAAACAUAAUUAUUUAAUUUCAUAGCUAAUUAGGGUAUACAUAUAGCCCCUAUUUGUCAUCCAUUUUUCCUCAUUCAUUUCCAUUAUUUUUUCUAGCGAAGUGUCCUAACAAAUUUUCCUUUUUAUUGCAAUUCUUUCAACUGUCCUAACAUUAAAAUUUUAUAGCGAAGUGUCAAAACUUAGAUGCAUUCCCAAAAGAGCGAUAGUGCAAGUCGUAAGGGGAUAAAUAAUAAACAUGUGGUGUCUGGUGGAGAGAACAUAAAAUAAACAAAAAGGCAAGGGCUCAUUUUCAAUUAAUAUAUUAUCAAUUAAUAUAUACAUUUUCAAUUAGGAGACUUUUACAAUAUUUUUUCUUUCUACAAAAGAAAAAUAAAAAUUAAUAAUAAUUGAGUUGAAUAUAAGAAAUAAAAAUAAAAUUAGUACAAAAAAUCAUUAAGAGUUUGAAUUAUUUUUAUUUUUCUAAAUAUUUUUAUAAUUCUUUUCAGAACUUUAUUUUUUAAAAAUUUAAGAUUUUAUUUUUUUUUGAAAAUUUUAUUUUAUUUUUUUAUUUCUUAGAAUUUAUCAAUUUCCAUUUUUGAAUUCAUUUUUCUUGAAUUUUAUAUUUAAAAUUUAAAUAUUAUUUGUUAGAAUUAUAUAUUUUAAUUUUUUAAACUUUUAAAUUUUUAUUUAAAUGCUUGUGUUUCAUUGUUUUGAUUGUAUUCAAAACGUCAAAUUUGCAUUUUAAGUUUUAUAUUAUAUGAUGGCAGAACGAAACAUGGCAGAACAAUUCCACUUUUCUCCACCAACUCUAUAUUAUGUAAUGCGAUAGCCUACUAACCGAAUUAAACGGAAGAAGGAGCCAACAACGAGCUUAACACGCACAAUUCUAUCCUUAUACUAUCACCGGCCACCAUAGAGGAAGCAACCCACCUACUGUAGAGAAGUACCAUUUUUCUUUCACAAUAAGAUCCGAACGAUUAUCCCUACCAGCAACCUGAGUUCACUUGAUACCUCUUGACUGUUCAAUUAACUCAGUUUGAUAAGUCUACCUCUAUUAAAAAAGUUUGGACCAAAUACCCCGUCUUGUCUGUCUCAACAAUUCUUGUUUACAGCAACAUCGUAGACCAAGAUUUGUUGUAGGUACCUUGUUCUGGGACAAGACAAAUAUAUUAGGGUUAGAGAAAAUACCCAAAACUUGACCAGCCAAAAUCUGCUCUCUUUUCCCCCCUUCAUUUAUGAGACCUAAUAAAUUUUGAACAACGUAUACAAAACAUCUUUAAUAGCCUGGUGCUUUCAGUACAGUGACAUCUACCCACACAAGAAUUCUAUUUCCUUUUCCCCCCCCCCCCCCCUUUUUUUUUUCUUUUUAUCUGAAUUUGCAACAGAUGAAUCCAAAUGUUGUUAGAGUUCAUCUCAUAGGACUUUUAUUUUUUGCUUCUACUUCUACUUUUUGUAGAAGAGUUUACUGAAAAAUCUACCUUAAACAAGUUUCUUCUAAAAACUAUUUUAAUCAGAUAAAUCAUUUUCAAAAAAUUAUGUAAAUAUGUUUAAAAGCAAUUUCUUAAUUCCUAGUAAUUGUGUGGAAAGCAAUGCCCUCCUGCUAGUAGAGUACUAGUUCCAUUUCCAGUUUGCUCCAAAUGAUUCUAUUUUAUCAAAUACUUGUACAUUGUUUAGUGAUGUAAAUUAUAGUUUGGAACCGAAUAGCCCACAAAGUUGCAUCUUCUCUUUAUGUAGAGAUAGGAAUCAUAGUUCUAAAUUCCUUGUAUCUUUUGUAUGUGCAAUUCGCAAUGAUUUGAAUUAAUGAAAGAUUCUUUACCUUAGAAAAAAGCAUUAUAUUUAAAAGUAUAGUAGAAUUUCUAUAAUUUAAUACCCGAUUAAUCCAAUGACAAUUAGAUAAGAUAAUAUUAUUGGCCAGUCCCAACGUGGAAAUAACGCGCUAAACUAAUAAUUCGCUAAAUUUAUAUGAUAAUUCAUAAUAAUAAAAAAUCAUAUUGAUCCCAUAUAAUUUACAAAUUAAUAUUUUUUAAUAUUUUAGAUAGUGCUUAUGAUUUGACUUAAGGCCUAUUAAAAUAUGACUCAAUCAUUAUUUAUUUUUUUCUUCUUGAAAUUGAUGUCACCUGGAUCUCAUCGCUAGUUUUUCUUAACAUGGUAAAAAAUUCUGAUGUUACUUUCUCAUGUUUCAAAAAAAUAUUAUUCAAUGUACAAUCUACUUUUUGAGCCUAAUUUUCUCAAAACUCAAUUUUCUACCACAUAUUCCCCCAAUAAAAUAAUUUUACAUGUAAACUCAAAAUUUUUUCCCACUUGUAAUCACAUAUUCUUCAAAGAUUACUAUUUGAAAAUCUGUUAACACACCCCCUCUCAAAAAAAAGUACUAAAUACAAAUAAAUAUUUAAGAAAAUAAAGAUGUACAUCUUAAUAAUUUAAUAAGUUAUCAAGUGAUGAAUAAAUUGAUAAAUAAUUCACUAAAUUAAUAGAUUCUCUCAGGUCUUAUGGAUCUUAAUUUAUAGAUUUAACUGGGUAAGUUAUAAAUUAACUUUAGCUCAAUCAGAUAACUUUACCUCAAUUAUGUUCACUCAAGUAACUAUGUUUCAAUAUAAUUUCAAUCGAAAAAUCACACUUUAAUUUGAUUUCAAUUAAGAUAAUUUUAUCCAAUUCCACUAACAAUAGUCUAUGACAUAAAAGCUGAUAUAUUAUAAUUAUCAACAUAACUAUAAGCUGUUGGGGUGAAAUAUGUAAAACCUAAUUGAGUUAAAUGGAAGACAUCAUUUAUAUAUUAGCAGCCAAAUCAUCGAUUUUCAUUAGCUCAAGGAACCGGAAUUAGACAAAGUUACCUGAUUGAAUUAAAAAUUAUUUACCCGAAAGUACAAUUACCUGAUUAGAAUAGAGCAAAAGUGUAAUUACAACAAAUGGGAAUUUCCCACUUUAACGACAAACAUGAUUAUGGAGAGCACAAGAGCCAUGCUAACUCAUCCAACAUAGCACAAAAAUAACAGUAACAGACUUCUCAUGUCAUGAAAUCGAAUCCAUAAAUACAAUGCUAUCUAUAAAUUAAAGGUGACUCUGGUUGUAGAAUCCAAAUACGAUGACUACUAAAGUACUAGUUCAACUCCUCUUCAAGAAAUACUAUAGAAAGAAUUUCAAAGAUGUGGCAUCAGUCACAAUACGUCCCUUAAUCAACAGGAUCAAUGAACACCCUAAUGCUCUCACUGUUUCCCAAACAAUAAAAGCACUCUCAAAUAUGAGUAAGAUCCCUGAAUAUUGUCUGGCAAAUAAUUUAGCUAUAAAAUAAUUUCUUAUUACCUAUCUAAAUCAGUCUGCGAUUAUGAACUACAAGGGCGCAAAUUUAACCCAAGUAGUUUCGACCGAGAUUUUUGCCUCAGCAGCAAAUGUUUCUGCUACCAGGAGAGGGAAAGCAAUAGUUGCAUCACAGUGCACACGGUUUUAUCAAUAAAAAAUAACAAAAUUGUAGACUAUACAUCACAUUGAUGAAUUGGAAAAAUGAAGGAACAAAAUGUCCAACCUUCAUUGACUUAGCAGAACCUCGAACUUACCCCAGAACACAGCUUCAUCGGGAUGGACAAUGAAUCACUUCCAUCAAACUCUUGUGCUGUGUUCAUAAAUACAGCAUAAUCCGCACCAUUACGCAUCAUAUUUACAUUGCAUUUAUGAUGCUUUGGCAGCCCCCCUCCAAGAAUUACCAUUCCAGUCUUCCUGAGACCAGCAUGGACCGCCUCACCAUUCCUCAUUGUGUCCAUUAUUCUACAUUGUUACAAAUUAGCAUAAGAUGACAGCAAAGAUCUUCACCUUGCAUGAUGUGGAUGCCUAGACCAGGAUCCUUUUUGAAGGAGUGGAAGUACAACAUAUCACCCAGUGAACCAUCUUUUAAGCCAGGUCCCUUAAAUUGACAAUUUUCAUGAAAAAUAAAGCCAAAUGAACACUAAAAAACACUUUUAUUUUAACAUUUUCUAGGUGGAAAAUUAUGCCAAUUAAACACAAUAAUUGACAAUUCCCAGUAAAACAAUUUUUAGACAAUUCAAUUCUCUGAAAUUUGUUCUCUUUCCACCCAAAUUCUAUUUUUGCAAUCAAACGGACCCUUAGAGUAGUAUUUUCCAUUAUUCCAUUCGUCCAGAUCAUAGCAGCCAAUGUGUUCUCUCUCUUUUUUCGUCUUUACUAGUAGUUAUAGUCCGUAAAAAAAAGGCGAGGAAAAAACGUGAAACAGAAAAUUAAUUGCAGUCAGUUUUUUGUUAAGUCCAAAGGUACAAUCCAGCAUAGCCCACUACAUACACCAGAUACAAAGCACGACCCCAAAUACCAGCCCACCACAGACAUAUACCAAAUAGCAGCCCAUAUAAAAAGCCUGAACGGCCCAACAAAAUUAAAUUAGUAAUACCCAUCCCCAGGCCCAACCCACAGCAAGCCCAAACCUAUCACCCACUACCAGCCCAACCACCACCACACUCACCGUCCUCCCUUACGUGGUCGAAUUUUUAGUGCAUCCCAUCACCACAUUAGUUUUCAAUAUCUGCUGCCUCUUGCUAUUAUUUCUCGCUACCACCUGCUGCUGUCUCCCUGUAAUCUGUUGUCUAUUGCUGCUUUUCAACCCGAGGACAACCUGCAGUCGCUUCUCAACAGCCUCGCUACCCGAGGAAAUUGAUUUGUCAAAAAAAUUUAACUUGUUUUUUUUUUUACUUUUAAUUGCAUCCAAUUGACUCUUAGCAAUCUUCAAUUAUCGUUUUAUGGUCUAAAUCAACUAUUGAAAAGUUACAAUUGAGUCUUCAAACUUUGAAUUUCACCUUUUCUCACUAUUUUUUGCUUAUUUAUUUCAAUUUCACUUUCAAUCAUGGAGUUUCAUCUAACAAACAAAAUAUACAAUAAAUAGAGCUAUAAUUGAUCAAAAGAACUUCGAAAUGUUUAAUUUAAGGCCCAAAUAAGGGGAUAACCUACACUUAUCAACUGCUAACAGUAAUCUACUAACCAGACAACAUAGUUUUGUAAUUUUGAAAAUCUUUAUAGUAUUCCAAGGUCAAAUUGGGUGCAAAAGAAUGCCGCAUGAGGAUGAUUGUAUUCGUAAAGACCAUCAAAUUUUCAUAAUGCAGCUUUACUACUUAACUGAUGUACCGUACAGAUAAUUAACAACAGGGGCGGAGCCAUGUUGGGACAAUUCCCACACUGAAUUUUUAGGCACAAACCCUUUUUUUAUUGUUAGCAAUCUACUAUGAUUUUGCUUGAUUUUAGGCAUAGGUUAAUUUGGAUUUCAUUUGUCAAAAUAUGAAAACUUGAAAGGAACCCGUUUAAUUAUAAACUAUGUCAUUUUAUUAUCGCAAUUUUGUUUUACAGUUUUAUCAUCAUUAAAUUCAUGAACAAAACUCAAUAUUCGAUGUGGGUUAAAUUAUGCCCACACUAAACAAAUUUCCUGGCUCCGCCCUUGAUUAACAUGUGAUAAAUUGCAAUGAUUAGCGAACACAUUCUUAACAGUUGUAGAGUGAAUGCAGCCAACAAAGCUCAACUAUUUUUGACAAAAAGUUUAAAUACCACAGGCUAUAUGUUCUAGUUAACUUACACAAUGACGUUCAAAACUUGUACAAAAUAAAUAACACACUGGGAUCUCUGACAUAUUCCUUGAAAUUAGCUACAAAUCCUACUAUGCAUAAAAUUCCAGAAUUUUUUAAUUGUUGCUCUUGUUUCUCUCUCUAAUUUGGCAAGACUUUUACAUAAGACUUGUAAAAAAUGAACAUCAUUUCCACCCGGUUCAAGCCAUUCUGGUUUUGUCCCUUUUUGUUUGAUGGAUAAAAAUUACUUCGGGAAUUAAUGGCAGCCAAGUUACAGCAAUUGCAAACAAAGGUUGUCCAAGCCUCACAAUUUGUGGUCAAGAAUGGAACUUCCUACUACAAGCAGACAAGCAGUUGUUGGAGCAGAACAGACAAUAUAUUCAGGAGUCAUUUACUGCGGAGAAUUGCAAUGAAUUGGCCAAGCAGUUGUUUUACACUCGUCUUACGAGGUUAAUUUGUUUAUAUUCUUAAUGAGUACUCUUUAGUUUUGAUUCUCUUUCUUGUGUGCAUUACAUGCUUGGAUUCAGAAUUUAAUUUCUUGUCUCUUAUUUUAUACAAUCGUUCUGGCAAACUAUCUGGUUCACUGAAUACCUGGAACUGAUUUCCCAUCCUGUGGUUUAAAUUAGCUACUAGUAGUUUUGGACUCACUAAAAAACAUGCGGCUUCAGAGAUGGAAAUUUCCAUCGCUGAUGCCUUAAAUUCCGUCGCUAACGACUUUCACAAAUGGAAUUGAUCGGUUGGAAAAUCCGUUACUAAUACCCCCACAGCGAGUUUUAGCGCCAAAUUACAUAAGCCGUCGGUGAUUUAGCGAUGGAAGAAGUCGUCAGUGUUUACCAACGGCUAUUUCCGUCACUAUUUUGCAACAAAAUUUCCCGUCGCAUAUUACCUACAGAUUCUGUCCGUUGAUGAUUACCUACGGAUUUUCGUCGCUAUUUUUGUCACUAAUUUGAAUUAAAAUAUUUUUAAAAAAUGUGUGAUUUUAUUUUAAUAAUUAUUUUCUCGAAACAGUCUAUACGACACCAGAUAGUCCAGCAAUUCACUCAUUCUGUAUCAGAUUCUUGAAAUUUUACAGAUCUAGCUUCAUACUCAUGAGAUGUAUAAUUUACAAUGGAUUUAAAAAUCAUUUCUAACCUACAUGCCCGUCUUCAAAACAUAUCUCAAUUUGGAAUAUAUCAUUAAUGUUGCCAUUGUUUCAGAUGAUUUCAUUUCUUCGAAAUGCAUUGCAUUAAUUUCAUAAUAGACUGCUGGAAAAGUAGUAAUCCAUUGAACUUUGACCUGGCAUGUGCAAUUAAACAGUAACCAAAAGAAAGCUAGGAAGAGAGAGAGAGAGACAGAGAGAGACAUAGAGAGAGAGAUUGAUAAUAGAAGGGGCCAGAACAAAGCCUCAGCUUCCAAAUUGAGAUCAAUUCCCCUAUGUGAUGUUGAGUGUGUGCCCAAGGAAAAGAGAAAUCAGAUUCCUAAAUGGGUGGAUUUUCUCAACAUCUGAACAGGGUGAAAUGGGGUGGGCGGUGGGGUGAGAGGGAGGGUAUAGAAGGGGAAGAAGAACUGGAAUUAGCCAUGGAUUUCAUUAUGUAACUAGCUUGGAGUAGUAAAGUUGUUGGCUUUACAUCUGUGUCUUUGAGAUAUAAAUGUACAAGAAAACGGUUGAAUUAAAUUUUUAAUCUGAAGGGUUUGGGAGGAAAUGAAAUAUUUGAAUGGGAAUUGGAUGGAGGGAAAUGAAAAUUUUAGAGGCAAGUCAAAUUUUAGAUGGGAAUUGAAGCUUUUUGAAUUUUCCGAUGGAAUUUUUCAUUGGUAACUAUAUAAUGCUUUUAAAAAUUUAAUUUCAAUGUUUACCAACAAAUUUUUUCUGUUCGUAAUUUAUUUUACCAUUUUUAAUAUUUUUUCCAACGAAAUCAUCCACUGAGAAAUCUUAUCACUAAAUUAUUUAAUUUAUUAUUUGUUAUUUUUAAAUUUUUACCGACGGAUUAGUAACAAAAUUUUAUCAACACAAAUCUUCUAUUGGUAAUUCUGUCAUUAAUUUAGUAUUUAAUUUUAAUUAAUAGUAAAAUAGUAAUUCAUUGCUAAUUUGUUGUAAUUUUGUUGAUAAUAGCUACGAAAAUUGUCCAUCUGUAAAAUUUCGCUUCUAUCUCCUCCUUUUCUAGUAGUGACUUUUGAUCAGAUUAUUCUAAUGCAUAAGAAGUUACAAGAAUUGUUGCCCUUUGGAUGGUGAGAUUUCUUAUCAUCAAUCAGAGAAAUUUGAAUCCUCUAUCACUUAAUGCAAAAGUGGAAAAUAAUAAGGUCCUAAUCCACAACAUUUAGGGCUUGUUUUAGAUUUUUUAGAAUAGAUUUUGUUGAAAGUGUUUUUUUUUGUAAGAAUGUGUGUUAAAAAGUAGGUUAGUCCAUGAUAAGUGCAAUUUGUGCACUUAUUUAAGCCAUAUUAUUAAACUUUUAUGUCGUUAAUUUAUUAAUUCCUAUUUAACUUGGGUUAAUUAAUUUAUUUAUUUAUUAUUAUUUUUUUUUUUAGUUUUGGACUCGUUCGGAGCAAAUGGAAAAGGGUGAAGAACAAAUUGGCCAUUGGAGAGAAAGUUUGGGAAUCAUUCUACACUUUGAAAUUUUAAGGACGUGAAUUGAACUAGAGAAAGACAUUGGUUGCAUAAUUAAUUGGGGUCAAAGAUUAAAUUGUAUGAUUUUUAGAUAAUUGAGGACUUGGAGGAAAUUGAGGUAUAAAUGGGCCUCUUGAGCUGAUUUCAAUAAUGACGAAUUCAUAUGGAGACUAACCUACAUUAUAUAUUAAAAAAAAUAAAAAUAAAAAAAGACGGCAGGAAACUGGGGAGAAUUGGAGGCAAAACCAUUGAAAGACGGCAGCCAACUAAAAGGAAAGAGAUAGAAAGCAUACCGGCAUUGGGAGCUGAUUUAUAUAUAUUUUACACACCAAUUAACUAGGGAAAUUGGAGAGCUGCUUGGAGGGGAACAUAAGCCAACUGGAAAUAUAUAUACACAACAACAUCGAGAGAUUGGCGAGAAGAAAGUGGCAGCUACCGGCUGGAAUUAUAUACACAUCACACGGCAGAAAUUGGGGAGAAUUUCAGAUACAAACAAAUUGGGAGCUGCCAUAAUUUCUAUGUUUUCCACACCCACAAUUUCACGCAUUGAAAGUAAAACAGGGCAGACCUGUAUUGGAAGAGAAUUGAAUAGAUACACACACAAUUGCCGAUUGCUGGAUUAUAUAGUCUGCUGGAAAGAGACAUCACACGCACAAGUUUUUUGCAGGAGGCAAUUGUUCCCUUUUUGGAGUCAACAAACUCAGCUACCUUGGAAAAUUAUAUAGAGAAAAAGGGCUGCAAACUGGGAGUUACAAAAUCAUUGACGGCUGCCCCGAAGAAAUAGAACUACACACGUGCAAAAGUCCAUGAAAUUUGUGAUAUUAAUCACGUUUCAUCAAAUUUCGGAGAUGUCCUUCCUCUUUUAUAUGUUUCAUUCCAACAUUAUGUUAGGCUAAUUUUUUUCAGGUAUUGGAUGGAUGACAAAUUUGUUUGAUUCUUAGUUUUAAUUCGAGACCUGUGUUUUUAUCUUAAUUCUUGUGUUGUGAUUCCAGUAAUAUACCUAUUUACAUUGUUUUAAUGUUUGCGCACCAUUAGGACAAUAAGUUGUUUAUUCGUAGUGUUGGAAAACUCACGGUAAGUAGAACACUGUUAUUGGAACACACGGACAAUAAAUAUUAGGAAUAAUAUUUGUGACGGGUACGAUCAUAUGUGAUAAUCCUAAAUGUCAAUACAUGUUUGCCAUAUGAAUUCGGACAAGGAAUAGGAUCAUCUCGUGGUAACCAUAGGUUUAUUAUAUCUUGGAAAAGAUAAUAAAUAAAAGUAUAAUUAUUGAUCGUCGCAAUUUCUAGAUUAAGAUAAUUAUUUCUGGUUGAGAAUUAGAAUUAAGUAUUGAUCAGUGGCAUCGGAAAUCCAAUACGUUCACACAUUUGAUUUUCUUAAACCAAUUUUCAUUGAUUUCAUAAGUUUUGGUUAUAAAAAUUAGUUAGUUAUUCAUCAAUCGUCUUUCAGUUAUAAACACGAAUUUAAAUAUAUUAAAUAUACUAGAAUUAAUCCUUAUUCGCUAUGAGACUAUAACUCUCUCAUCACGAUUAUUACUUGUACAACGAACCCGUACGUUUGCGGGAUUAUGACGAACAAGUUUUUGGCACCGUUGUCGGGGAAUAACGGUGUUAAUUUUAGUUAUUAGAUAUUUAGAUGCGUUAUUAUUAUUAUUAUUUGUUGUUUUUUGGCUAAUAUUACACUGCUUAAUUCUCUUGUGUCUUGACACUUGUCAGACGACCUUGGUUUAUGCAAAAUCUUAAUGAGCCAGAUCUCAUUCCGAUAGACCACGAAAUCGAAAGGAUAUUUAGAAAUCGUAGAAGAGUCCAACAUCAAGCAGAGAGAAUGGCAAAUAAUCAGAAUCAACAGCAAAAUCAAGUUCAGCUUCAAGAGCAAAUACCAUAGCCAAAUCAACAGAAAGCUAUCCACAACAGAGCUCCUAUUUUAGUUGGGGAUUAUGUAAAUCCAAUUCCUACACCAGUGCAACCUGCUGUGGUAUAUCCUCCCUUUGGAUAGUCUAAUUUCCACCUCAGACCAAAUGUCAUCAAUCUGUUUCAAAAUCACCAAGACAUUAGGUUCUUUGGAAAAGACACUAAGAAUCCUCAUGAACAUAUUUCGGCGUUUCUUAUGCUAUGUGAGGUAAUUAGUCAUGAAGGGAUAUCAGCAGAUGCAUUUCGAAUGCGAUUAUUUCCUCAUUCCUUGAAAGACGUCGCAAGAGAAUGGUUCCUCUAUUUACCUCCACGGAGCAUCCAAUCAUGGAAUGAUAUGGUUCAAAAAUUCACCAUGAAAUUCUUCCUGCCCUCUCAAGUUCACCAAAUUAGGAAUGAAGUCCACACUUUCAAGAAAAGACCUCGAGAGCUAUCCUGGGGCAUGAGAAAGGUUCAAGAAUUUUUUCAAAAAAUGCCCUGGCCUUGACAUUCCUAAGUAGGCUCAGCAAUAUCUCUUCUACUGUUGUCUAAAACAAGAGUUCAGGAAUAUGAUAGAUGCUUCAGUGGGAGGAUCGGUUAUGAAACGUGAUGUCGAUGAGGCCUAUGAUUUGUAUGAAAAAUAGCUGAAAAUCAAUUGAUGUGGCCAACUGAUAGAGAAGCUCCAAGGAAAACAUCAGGGUUGCACAAUGUGGAUGCAGUGAUAGCACUGGCCUCGCAAAUGAAAGUUCUUACAAUGAAAAUGGACAAUUUGUCUAAGUCAGUUAACAUGGUAUAACAAUCACCACCUGUUUGCGAAGGCUGUGGAGCGGAUCAUGCUAGUACACGCUGCCCUUUGGUAUUUACGCAUGUUAAGAAUAAGCUACACACAUAACUUUCAGAGACAGCAAAAUAAUCUUUUCUCCAACACAUAAUCCGGGUUGGAGGAACCAUCCUAAUUUUCAUGGUCUAAUAAUCAGGUACAAAAACAAGGAGGAAACAAUCAGAAUAAACCACUAGGGUUCUAGCAACAACAGUAGCAAGGGAGAAAGCCAUCAUUGGAAGAUUCGCCAGCUCAAUACAUUACUAAAACUAAGACCAACUUUUAGAACCAACAAGCCUCGAUCAAGAAUUUGGAACAAUAAGUUGGACAAAUAGUAGCCGCACUAUCAGGUAGAGCUUAAAGGACAUUGCCUAGCAAUACUGAGACAAAUCCUAAGAAGCAGGUCAAAGCAAUCACUGCAUGUAGUGUCAUCUAGUUGCCAAAAAUACAUGUAAAGCGGCCAACAACUGUCAUAGAAAAGGCACCUACCAUGGGUAAGGAGCAAGUGGAUGAAUCAGACAAAGCCACAGAGGAAAAUCAAGUUGAGUCAUCAAAUAGUCCAUAGGUGAAGGCAACUCUUGUCAAAGCAUAUGUGCCUCCGAUUCCAUUUCCACAGAGAUUGCAAAAACACAAGCUCGACAAGAAACUCUAGAAAUUUUUGGAUGUGUUCAAGAAGCUGUACAUUAACAUACCAUUUGCUGAAGUUUUAGCUCAAAUGUCGAGUUAGGCCAAGUUCAUGAAAGACAUUCUAUCAAAUAAGAGGAAACUAGAGGACAAUAAAACAGUAAUGCUUAUUGAGAAGUGCAGCACAAUUCUCCAACAUAAGUUACCGCCUAAGUUAAAAGAUACAGGGAGUUUUACUAUUCCUUGUAACAUUGGUAAUUUAUAUAUAGAUAAAACAUUGUGUGAUUUAGGAGGUUGCAUAAUUUAAUGCCUUUAUCUCUUUUCAGGAAACUAGGCUUGGGGCAAGCAAAACCGACAACACUUUCACUACAGUUGGCUGACAAGUCGAUCAAGCACCCUCGAGGUAUUUGUGAAGAUAUUUUGGUGAAGGUCGACAAUUUUAUCUUCCCAGCGAACUUUAUUGUUUUGGAUAUGGAGGAAGAUAGGGACGUUUCCCUCAUAUUGGGUCGCCCAUUUUUUGCUACGGGAACGGCUCUGAUAGAUGUGUAAAAG
rnacentral:lncRNA from 1 species